GCUUCUGGACCUUUCUGCAAAAACAAAGAAUUUGAGGACUAAACUGCAAAAUUAAUUAAAAGGCUUGAAAUGAAAUUAAAAAAACUGUUUGGACAAAAUGCAAUUUUGGGACCUCAAUUGAGGGACCAAAACGCAAUUAAAAAUAAAAUUGAGUAAAAAACGUAAUUUGACCAAACGUAAAGCGAAACAAAAAUAAAAUUGACAAAACGGACUAAAACGAACCAAUGACCUAAAUGAGGUACUUCAAAGUAACCUCUCUAUGCCAAAAUUUUGUGUGAAAUGACCAAAAUGCCCCUAGGGCUAAAAUUGACCUAAACAGAUUGAAAUGGACUUAACACUGACUCAGACGCAAGUUUGAAAUGAAUUUUAACAAGGUUUACUGAUGAAGUGUUUAAAAAUAAUCUGAAAAGACUCAGAGACAGUCACAAGGAUGAAAAUGGGUCCCACUGCAGGAAAUGACCAAAAUACCCUUCUGUAUGACUUUUUGCAAAUUUUGAAAUAAACUGUGGAAAAAGCAAUGUAAUGAUUCAGAGACACUUUUGAAUGACUUACAAGACAAGUAAAGACAUUUCAAAAGGUUUUAUGCAAGAAAAACAUAGGUAAAAUUGUGAUUGAAAAUACUGCGAGGCAGAGACAAUUUGAACUGUGCAGUUGAAAUUUGAUAAUUGACAAAGUUUGAAAUGAAAUUGGGCCCAGUAUUUUUAGGUCCAAAAACAGGGUAUAACAGCUGCCCCUAUUUAAGUUUCUUUGUCUGGAGAGUCAAGAGACGGAGUCUUUGGCUUGACAGGAAGAAGAUACUUAAAUAUUAGCAUUUGCACUGUGUUUGGACGUAAAAAUACGCCUACCCAUUUUCAAAUAAUAUGCAUGCCAUGCAUCAUUCGGAUUAUGAAUGCAAGACCUCAUGGGGAUUGGAAUUAACAAAAUAUGUCGUAUCCAUUGCGGGAUUGGUAGACAUUGACAAAGAUAGUGAAUAGCAGAGUAACGGGAAACUAGAAACAAGUUGGAUAGGUACAAGCUGUUCUUGGAUUCAAACUAGCCACUUGACCGGGGAUUAAACAAACAGACAACUGCGAGUUGUUCUUAUGGAUUCGAACUGGUCACUUCACAGGGGAUAGAAGUUACUGGACAAACAUGAGUUGUUCUUAUGGAUUCGAACUGGUAACUCACUUGGGGAUAUUGGAAAGUGCGAGUUGUUCUUAUGGAUUCGAACUGGUGACCCGACUGGGAAAAAGAGAAAAUUGGCAAGUACGAGUUGUUCUUAAGGAUUCGAACUGGUUACUUGACUGAAAGCAAGGCAAAUAGACAGGUGCGAGCUUGUUCUUGGAUGCGAACUGGUUACUCCACCGGACAGAAACAGAUAGACAGGUACAAGCUGCUCUUGGAUUGAGCUAGCCACUUGACCGAACGGAAACAUAUUGACAGGUACAAGCUGCUCUUGGAUUGAGCUGGGCACUCGACCGAUAACAUAAGCAAAUUGAUAGGUACAAGCUGUUCUUGGACUUGAACUAGCCACUUGACCAAACAGAAACAUAUUCACUGGGGGUUGGUUUGUUUUGACAAAAUAUAGAUUGAAAUUGACUUGACGUCGAUUUGGUUUGAAAGGUAGAAAUUGACCGAUAUUAUUGGCUCACAAGGUUUUGACAGAGAACCUGACAUGAGUAUUGAAUUGAGACUGAUGUUGACAUUGGAAAUGCAAUAUGCAUGGAUGAUAUAACAGUUUCAUUAAAUGCAUGGGCACGUAAUAUGCAUGGUUAUGCAUGUAUGAAUGCUUGUGAUGCAUGACUGUUAGCAGUUUGUAGGCACGACUUCACCGGGAAGACAAGACAUUAGAGUAUUGGGCACGUAGUGGCUCGUGCUAUAUUACACAUUCUUGGAAAUCCUCUUUGGAGAUGACGUCGUUGGGAGACGUAUCGGAACCAUGGCUGAGGGCAGGUAGCUAAACAACUUGCUGGAGAUAGAAUCUUGGAAAACCCUGACUGGGGAAAACGCCGUUGUGCUGGGCAUGUUGUAGAUAUCGCAUCUGUGGUCAAUGCUUUUUGCAUGUUAUAUUUUCAACUUCCAUUCAUUCAUUUUUUUGCAUCCCAUUUUUGCCUGGAUCGCCCUUUCGGGUUUUCAAUCCACCGGGGAAAUAAAUUCUUUUCAAUGCCCCAUUUUUGCCUGAACUGCCCUUUCGGGGUGUCAAUCCAGCGAGGUGCUCAUUUUUGCCUAAGCCGCCCUUUCGGGUUUUCAACUUAGCGAGCUCAUUCAUUUUCAUGCAUUUUCAUUCUGUUUUUUCAUUCUUGCCAUUGACCACAGAUUAUCUUGGAGGAGAACCUGCUUGUAACACAUAUUGAAAUAGACACCAACAUACUCUCGCUCAUGCAUGUUUCAUUUGAAUGUACCCUGUUGCUCAGGUUUGCUUUUCAAAAUAGACAAAAAGUUUUCAAUUUUCAAAAAAAACGUUUGUUUCAAGCAUUGUCAUUAUCAAAAUAGAAAGAAAAUGUUUUGUAUAUAGCUUUGAAAGUAGAAGAAAAAUGGAGUUUUCAAACAAAAGCAAAGGCUCAAAUUGAUGUAUAAGAGUGGUGGUCAGCCCAAGGCAUGACUCCACGGAUUCAUAAAGCUUGGAAAAUGGUAAUUUUAUUGGUUGGUGGUACAUUGAACACAGUAAUCAUUACAUUUCCCAAAAAACUUUGAAUUCACAAGUACAGAAGCUUCAGAUGAAGAUGGUCAUUAACAGCUGCAGAUGCCCCAAGGGGGACGGUGGUUAGCCAGAUAUAGUUACUUGCCUUUUGUUUCAAUCUCAUUUUUGCAUGAACCGCCCUUCUGGGUUUUCGGCUCAUCGAGACGCUCAUUCUUGCCUGAGUUGUGUUCAAUCUCAGCGAGCUUUUCAUAUUUGUUUCUUUUGUCCCUUAUUUUUGCCUGGACCGCCCUUUCGGGUUUUCGAUCCACCGGGAAGCGCAUUUUUGCCUAGGCCGCCCUUUCGGGUUUUCGACCUACCACGCUGUUCUUUUCACAUUUCUAGGCGAAGUAUUUCUUGACUAUAUCGGCAUUCACUGGAUUUGGAAGUUCUACACCAUCCAUGUGUGUAAGGAUUAAAGCACCACCGGAGAAGGCCUUCUUGACAACAUAAGGACCUUCAUAGUUAGGCGUCCACUUGCCCCUUGGGUCGGGUUGCUGACUUAUCCUCCUUUUCAAUACAAGUUCCCCUACCUUGAAUUCUCGAGGAUGGACUUUCUUGUCAAAAGCAGUCUUCAUUCUUGCUUGAUACGACUGUCCACGAGCCAUGGCAUCCAUACGUUUUUCCUCAAUCAAGUUCAACUGAUCAUACCGGCUUUGGCACCAUUCAGCCUCGGAUAACUUUGCUUCCAUGAUCACACGGAGAGAUGGGAUCUCCACUUCCAAAGGAAGAACUGCUUCCAUACCAUAUACAAGAGAGAAAGGGGUUGCCCCGGUUGAACUGCGCACUGUAGUACGGUAGCCAUGCAGAGCAUAGGGUAACAUCUCAUGCCAGUCCUUGUAAGUAGUUACCAUCUUCUGGACAAUUCUCUUGAUAUUCUUGUUGGCGGCCUCAACUGCACCAUUCAUCUGAGGUCUAUAGGGAGAAGAGUUAUGAUGCUCAAUCUUGAAUUCUUCACAAAGAGCUUGCACCACAUUGUUGUUCAGGUUGGUACCAUUGUCAGUAAUGAUCUUGCUGGGAACACCAUAUCGGCAUAUGAUGUUGUUCUUGAUAAACUUAGCUACCACUUGCUUGGUCACAUUGGUAUAAGAUACUGCUUCAACCCACUUGGUGAAGUAGUCAAUUGCCACUAAGAUGAAACGAUGACCAUUUGAAGCCUUCGGUUCAAUUCUUCCAAUCAUGUCGAUGCCCCACAUUGAGAACGGCCACGGGGACGAAAUAACAUUGAGGGCGUGCGGAGGCACAUGGAUCUUGUCAGCAUAGAUUUGACAUUUGUGGCAUUUUCUGGCAUGCUAGUAGCAAUCAUGUUCCAUGGCCAUCCAAUAGUAACCUGCUCGUAACAACUUCCUUGACAUAGUAUGCCCUGUAGCAUGGGUCCCGAAGGUACCGUCAUGUACAUCAUGCAUUAACUGCUCUGCUUCAUGUUCAUCAACACAUCUUAACAACACCAUGUCAUAGUUUCUCUUGUACAGAAUAUCUCCAUCUAACAGGAAUCUGCUGGCCAAUCUUCUCAGGGUCUUCUUGUCUUGUUUGGAAGCAACCGGCGGAUACUCACGGCUCAGCAAGAACUGUUUGAUGUCAUAAUACCAGGGUUUAUAGUCAACCACAUUUUCACCAGCCUGAUCGAUCACAUCCCCAAUAGCAAACACAUGCGAAGGUCUUUCAAGGCGUUGCACUUUGAUAACUGGCACAUCAUUCCAAUGGUUUACUCGAAACAUGGAGGAUAGAGUAGCAAGAGCAUCAGCCAUUUGGUUCUCAUCACGAGGAAUAUGGUGUAGCUCAACCUUUGUAAAAUAUGUCAGCAAACGUCUCGCAUAAUCACGAUAAGGAAUCAACUUAGCAUGGUGGGUCUCCCAUUCACCCUUUAUCUGAUUGAUGACGAGCGCAGAAUCUCCAUAGAUGUCGAGGUGUUUGAUUCUCAUGUCAAUUGCUUCCUCGAUCCCAAAGAUACAUGCUUCAUACUCAGCCAUGUUGUUGGUACAUUCGAACAGAAUUCUGGCGGUAAAAGGGAUGUGAUGCCCCUGCGGGGAUACAAUGACUGCCCCAAUUCCUUUACCAUAAGCAUUGACAGCACCAUCAAAGACUAAACCCCACUUGCUAUUGGGAUCUGGACCUUCAUUAAUCAACGGUUCGUCGCAGUCUUUGGAUUUCAAAUACAUGAUCUCUUCAUCGGGGAAGUCGAAUUCAAUUGGUUGAUAAUCAUCAAGAGGUUGGUAAGCAAGAUGAUCGGCAAGAAUGCUACCUUUGAUUGCCUUUUGAGUUUUGAACACAAUAUCAUAUUCAGACAAAAGCAUCUGCCAGCGUGCAAUCUUUCCAGUAACAGCAGCUUUCUCAAAGAUAUACUUGAUCGGAUCCAUUCUGGAUAUCAACCAAGUUGUAUGAUUCACCAAAUAAUGACGCAGGCGUUUGGCAGCCCAAGCUAAAGCACAACAAGUCUUCUCAAGCAUUGUAUACCGAGUUUCACAAUCGGUGAACUUCUUGCUCAGAUAGUAGAUAGCAUGCUCUUUCUUUCCAGUUUCAUCUUGUUGACCAAGUACACAUCCCAUGGAUUCAUCAAACACUGCCAAAUACAUAAUCAAAGGCCUUCCUUCCACGGGUGGGACAAGGAUAGGUGGUUCCAGCAGAUAAUUCUUGAUGCUAUCAAAAGCUCCUUGGCAUUCAUCAUUCCAUACAACAGGCUGAUUCUUUCUGAGUAGCUUGAAGAUCGGCCCGCAGGUUGCUGUCAUGUGAGAUAUGAAUCGGGAGAUGUAAUUCAAACGUCCGAGGAAGCCUCUGACUUGCUUCUCUGUCUGUGGAGCUGGCAUUUCUCGGAUGGCCCGUACUUUAUCAGGAUCGACUUCAAUGCCCUUUUGGCUGACAAUGAAGCCUAAUAACUUCCCGGAUCUGACGCCGAAUGUACAUUUGUUGGGAUUCAAUCGAAGCUUGUAUUUUCUCAACCUUUCAAACAUCUUUGUCAAAUAUUCAACAUGCUGCUCCUCAUCUGUUGACUUCACAAUCAUGUCGUCCACAUAUACUUCGACUUCUUUGUGAAUCAUGUCAUGAAACAGAGUAGUCAUUCCCCUUUGGUAGGUAGCACCAGCAUUGAUUAGGCCGAACGACAUCACUUUGUAGCAGAAAGUACCCCAUGGCGUGAUAAAAGACGUCUUUUCUCUAUCUUCAGGAGACAUCUUGAUCUGAUUGUAACCGGAGAAACCGUCCAUGAAGGAGAACACCUUAGACUGAGCAGUAUUAUCAACAAGCACAUCAACAUGAGGUAACGGAAAGUUGUCUUUUGGACUGGCUUUGUUCAAGUCCCUGAAGUCAACACACAUCCUGACUUUACCAUCCUUCUUUGGCACGGGCACAAUAUUAGCAACCCAUUCAGGGUACUCAACUGUCAUGAGGAAACCCGCAUCAAUCUGCUUUUGGACCUCGCUCUUGAUCUUGAGAGCCAUAUCUGGAUGAGUCCUUCUCAAUUUCUGCCUGACGGGAGGACAUUCAGGCUUGGUGGGGAUCCGAUGCUCCACAAUCAUAGGGUCUAGACCUGGCAUAUCUUCAUAUGACCAUGCAAAAAUAUCCGGAUAUUCCCGGAGGAGCUGGAUGAUCUUACUUUUAACCUCUUCCCCUAGAGCAGCACCGAUCUUGAUUUCUCGCUUGUUCUCCUCGGUACCUAUGUUGAUAAGCUCAAUCUCUUCCUGGUGAGGCUGAAUGGCUUUCUUUUCUUGCUCGAGUAACCGAGUGAUCUCAUAUGGUAUGUCAUCACCCUCCUCAUCUUCGGCUUCAUACACAGGGAAUUCAAAAUUUGGAGGGACCGUAGGAUUACUGUGUUCAACGGGUUUAUUAUGGUUCAACCUGCAUAUAAUGAUUGGAUGAUUUUAGAAAGGGUUGUUUUUUCAUGCAGAUUUUUGAAAUUAAUAAGAAAAUACAGACUGUUUGGUUUUUUCUGGCAUUACCAUUUUUUCCAAGAAAAAGGCACUAAAAAAAAGGCAGUCGUGAAAGAAACGACAAUUUUUAUUCAUCAACGGCAAUGCCGAAACAAACACGCCCUUACAGAAAAUAUCACUCUCGCAUUGGGCAGAGCGAGAGGAUUGUUAUUUUUGAAAACAAAGCGCUAAAGCAACAAGACACGUUACUCGGAAAUAUGCAUGAUUGAAGGAAUGUCAAUGGCAUCCCAAUCUCUCGCAAUGCCUCCCGGCGUAACGAAAACAAGCCUGAGACCAGAUCCAGUUGCUUCUUCAGAGAUAGCAUUAACAAACCCAGCACUGUGGAAGACUCCCGAGGAAACCCUUGACGACGGGGAGAACCCGAGACCUUCUUUACGCUUGUUCUCACAGAGCUGUAUCACCUUGCCCCAACCGGCAGUCUGACCGUCCUGAAUAACCUUCUGAGCAUCUUUCAAUGAAGCCAUAGCAGCCCCAGCUUUCUUAGGCUCUGCACCCUCAAUGGUCAAACCUUGGAAAGCAGUCCCUUCAGCAGACCCUGCCUCAAUACAAGAGAAGGAAGACAGCUGGCUGACUAAGUAUGCCUCUUCACCAUGAACGGUAACAAGCUUUCCAUUCCUCUCAAACUUCAACUUCUGAUGUAAGGUGGAGGUUACCGCGCCCGCAUCGUGUAUCCACGGUCUUCCCAGCAGACAACUGUAGGAUGCAUUAAUGUCCAUCACUUGGAAGGUAAUCAAGAAAUUCUCAGGGCCAAUGGUUAUCGGCAAGUCUAUCUCUCCCAGCACAUUCUUUCGAGAUCCAUCAAAAGCUUUGACCAAGAAAGUACUCCUCCUCAAAGGGGUCCCUCGGUAGCUCAACUGAUCUAGAGUUGUCUUGGGCAUUACAUUGAGGGAGGAACCGGUAUCCACCAACACAUUUGAUAUCAUGUCUGAUUUACAAUUCACCGAGAUGUGCAAAGCCAAAUUGUGACUCUUUCCCGCUUCCGGCAACUCUUCUUCACUAAACCAGAGGUUGUUACAAGCAGUGAUAUUUCCCACUAUGCCACCGAAACGAUCUACCGUAACUUCGUGGUCCACAUAAGCCUGCUCCAGCACUUUCAACAAGGUAUUCCUGUGAGCCUCGGAGCUCAAGAGUAAUGACAAGACAGAUAUCUUCGAAGGAGUCUGUAGUAACUGAUCAACGAUCUUGUAGUCACUCCUCUUUAUUAUCCUCAGAAUCUCAUCUAAAUUCGAAUCCUCUAUGGAUUUGCCUGACUGGUUCACAUCUGUAGCAAUGGGUGAAACAACGGUUGGAGUUGCUUCUUCAAUUGGUGGAAUGGUCGGUGUAACUACCUUCUGCUGAAAUAACGGCGGGCGAACCUUCCCGCUUCUUAGUGCUGCAGAAGUCCCUUCGGCAAUAUUGCUUACUGUGGCAAAGGAGGCUAGAGGCACCUCUACUCCAUUUUCUAUCAUGGUAGCAUUGUAUUUGUAUGGAACAGCCUUGUCUGAAACAUAAGGAAUUGGUCCUGGCAACCUUAUCACCAAAGGCUCAGCAUUCUUCUUCAAAGGUAUACUCUUGACGGGCGGAUCGUGAAAAACUGGCACAAUCACGCAAACAUCACUGACAGUCAGAAAAUUAUCAUUCAUCAAGCUUUGGAUGUCGUCUUGAACAGUAUAACAACCCAAAGGAUCACGGAGGCAUCCCAGACACUUGGCAUGAUCAUGGCUGAACAGAGAAGCUUUGCACAGCUUGAUGUGUAGAGGUACCAGAGGAGUUGCGACGUUGCGGACAUCAAGUCUAGGAGCUUCCUCGCACACUUCGAUCAUAUUCACAGCGGCAUGAUUUGGAAGAGGAUUGUCGAGGACAUGUGGGACAUUAUUCUCAAAUGUCAGCUUUCCUUGAUCAAUGAGCUUCUUCACGAUAUACUUCAAAGCAUAACACCCCUCGACAUCAUGACCUAAAGCACCUUGAUGAAAAUCACAUUUGAGAUCAGACCUGAACCUUGGAGGCAACGGAUCAAGUGGGGGCUUGCCCUGUCUAGUUGUACAAUGCCCUCUCUGGAGUAAAGUUGGAAGCAAUUCAGCAUAUAACAUCGGUAUCGGAGGGAAAGUAGGUCUAGCUUGCUGAUUUUGUUGUUGUUGUUGUUGAACCGGCAUCUGUUGUUUCAUCUGUUGGGCAAUUGCAUUGACGGGUACUUGAGGUUGACCCGGUGGCAGAGGGUACUGAUGAUAAAAUGGCGGGAAGAAAGGAUGCUGAGAAUACGGCAUAUAUGGGUAUGACGGAGGCAUUUGAGCUGCAUUGAUAGGAGCAACGGUAGCCAUGGAUUGACCGGCUCCAGCUGACACCAUCCCCACUUCCGUUUCUUUCUUCUUGUGGUGUCCAUUACCAUACCUCUUCGAUGCACUCGUAGAAGAUUCAGCUUUCUCAAACACAAUAAUUCCAUCCCUGACGGCUUCCUCAAGACGGGUUCCCAUGGUGACCAUCUCCGAAAAGUUGUUCGGGGCAGCGAUGAUCAUCCUCUCAACAUAAUCUUUCUUCAAGGUCUUUAAGAAUGUCUGGGUCAUUUCUUCUUCAUCUAAAGCAGGAGUGAUACGGGCAGCUGCCCCUCUCCACCUUUGUGCAUAUUCACGGAAACUUUCCUCUUUUUUCUGAGAUAGGGACCUGAGGAACUCCCUAUUCGGCUUCAAACGAGUGUUAAACCCGUAGUGGCUCUUGAAAGCAGCGGCUAGUUCAUCAAAAGUAUGGACAUCGUCUUUGCUCAGACUAGUAUACCACUCUGCAGCAUCCUCCAUCAGACUGUCUUGGAAAUAAUGGAUCAUAAGGGAAUCAUUGUCCUUGUAGUUGCCCAUCUUCCGGACAUAUUUGACAAUAUGAUUUUGAGGACAAGUCAGCCCGUUAUACUUGUCGAACUCCGGGACUUUGAACUUCUUUGGAACAUCUACCUUCGAUACUAAGCAGAGGUCCUGGGUUUUAAUAGAGUCUCCACUUCCCCUGUUGGCCUUAAUUUCCCGUCGGAGCUCUUUGGCAAGUUCUUCCAUUCUCUCUUCCAUAGUCCCGGUUGUGGCAAUACUCUCACGGUGCGCAUUAGCAUGGACAAUUUGAGGCACCGUAUUCACAAUGGGUUCGGUAACAGUUGUUGCAGCUUGAGUCAAGGCGGUACUAACAGGAGUUAAGUUUGCCCCUGAGAUUGGGCCACUGUUGAUAGUACCAGAGGUCCCUGCCCCUGUAUUAGCAGUAUAGUACGGCGGAAGUCCGUAAGGAAAUCCGGAUGGCAUGAUAAAGCGGGGAUCAGUUGUUACAGUAGGAGUCACAUUUGCAGCUGUAGAAACUACAGGAACUGGUUGUUUCUGAGCAGCCAACAGAGCAGUCAUAGCAUCAUGAGCUUUGGCCAAUUCCUCCUUUAGAGCUGCCAAUUCGGUACGGAGCUGAGAGUUCUCUUCUUCCAUAGCCCUUUUCUUUCUUCUGUAUUCUCUGGUUCGAUCAAUUCUAUCAGGUUCGUAAACUCUCUGAGCACGAGCCACUUUUCACACUGAGGCAGAGAAACCAGGAGAUAGUGAGCACUUGGAAGCCUUUGUGACCAAUGCAUGAUGCAUAUGAUGCAUGAUAUGCAAAUGCAAAUGCGAAAGACUUAUUUUUUUCAUCGAAGGAUUUUUAAACAAAUUAGAAAUCUUGCAAAUAAACAAAAUAACAUAUUUUCAAAAGGAAGACUUUGAAACUUUAACAAGAUAAACAAAUGAAGCCCUCAAGCGUAGGAAGUAGUCGGAGCAUCAUUGGACUCGGAAUCUGAAUCACAGUAUCUGUCAAAGAAGUCUCGUCGUCCUCUGGCUCUCUUGGAAUCCCUCAUAAGCAGCUCGUCUUUCUCUUCCAAUUCCCUCCGGACCUUAGCUAGUUCCUUCUUCAACAUCAGAUUCUCAUGAGUCUUCUGCUCAUCUCUACCAUCCAAAGUCAUGAUUAGAUUCUCGGCUUGAUCGUACCGAGCUUUCCAUACUUGCUUCUCACGACUCUCCAUAGCUAGAUGCUCCUGAUACAUAUCCUGAGUCGCGGGGAGCAACGGUAGAGGCAUAGAUGGAGUAGAUGAAGACACGUAUCUCAUAGCUGGAUAAGGCAUACCAAUCUCCUCAGCUCGAUCUAUCACCCACUGAGUAUAAGCCUCAUGAGCAACACCGGAUCUCACACCUAGAUGCUUCACACUCUUCCUUCGAACCUUGGACCAAGCAUCCAUGAAAGCUUUCCUUUGUCCGGUAGGAGCAUUCGUGUAGAAGAAAAACUCUGGAGAUGUAGCAAGAUUGAUGGGCUUCGACUUCAUAGGGAAACCAAAUUGUCUCAUAGCAAGCUCGGGAUUGUAGUUGAUUCCUCCACGAGUACCAAGAAGAGGUACAUUGAGAAAGUCUCCACAACCCAUAAUGAUUUCCUUCACCUGAGCGGCCGGAGUGAGCCAUACGACCUCAUUAGGAGUAAGGGCCAUAAUCCGCUGCGAGUAGGACCAAUUCUCCGAGUUGUCAUGGAAGGAACUCGGAAGGUGCGAAAUAAACCACCUAUACAAAAGAGAUGUGCAGCAAAGAAUAUACCUACGGCCCUUGAGAGUCCUGUCAUGAAUGGCGUGGUAGGUAUCCGCUAGCAAAGUAGGAACCGGGUUCUUGGAAUGGAAGAUCUCGAUAGCAUUCAUGUCCACAAAGUUGUCGAGGUUCGGAAAGAGAAUGAGCCCGUAGAUAAGAAAAGCAAGAAUAGCCUCGAGUGUAUCCUGACGAGUAGUACCGAGAUUAGCCUGAUCAAGAAGAUACUUCGAAGUGAACCCCCGGAUGUGAGACUUGGUAAUAAGAUGGUUGGAGACGUCGGAGGUCUUGAGGUAGAGAUCCUUAGCAAUAACCAGAGGAGUAAGAGAAGUCCCGGGACCGGUGAAAGGCGUCUUCUCGGCUAUAGGUAAACCCACUAGAUUGGAGUAAGCCUCGAGAGUAGGAACCAACUGGAAGUCCGGGAAAGUGAAGCAGCGGAAGCUCGGAUCAUAAAACUGUACUAGAGUGUGCACUAGCUUCUCGUCCACAUCGGUUCGGAGCAAAGUAAGCAAUCCCCCAUACCGGAGUCGGAAACCUGUUUGACUCUUGACCUUGAGUGCCAACUCUCUCAAACUAACCAAAUCCACUUCCUUGAACUUGUAGCACUUAGUCUUCUUCAUACCUGUGAUUAUUUACAAAAAUUUCCAUUUGUUUAAGCCCUUCGAUGAAUGCAUGAAAAAAUGUUUAUGCAUGAAUGCAUGUAUGCAUGAUUGUGUUGUUUAGUUACAAUGUGGGUUGAGGUUCAAAGUAACAGGGCCACGGAUGGACACGGCGUCCGGUGAACUAAGGCUUUGGAUGGUAGUAACCAAGGUUCUAACACAGUUCCCAAACUGCAACCUCUCUCACAUAUAUCAUGGUAGUACAGGACGACACCCGUUCCAUGAUUAUUUGUGAGAAGGUCUAGUUUGAGUGUAGUAUCGCGUGACGACUAAAGUUUGAGACAACACUCAAUUUAGCCACCGCACUACGUCCUAAAAAAGGCUAGGAUGGGUUUGGCAACUACGGUUCAUAGCUUCGUCGAACAAUUGAAAGUGAAGCCUAAGCAUGACAACACACGCCGACAAUAUCACCUUCAAAAUGCCUCAGCUAUGUGAGAUUGAUCGCAUAAUUCAAUACACGAGGCAACCCCCGGAUCGAAUUGUCGAUUAUAUCUCUACCUAAACAUAAGUUCACUCAGCCCGGGUAUAGGACUUUUGAUAUUCUCACCCCACACGUUAAAUGAAAAUAAACAAGUAUUCACAUGUAAGUAAUAAAACAAAGCGUAAAUAUAAACUAAAGAAAACUAGGCGCGACCCGCUAAAAAUUUCCCCAGUGAAGUCGCCAUUUCUGUUAUCAUGGUUUUUGGGUGCCAAACCAUCAAUUGGACUUGAACCUUUUGACCGUUGAUAUCUCUUUUUUUCUUGGGAAGGGUAAAAGGAGAAAAACCCUUGAGUUUCCGGAUUCGGGGGUCGUUUUCGCUACGGGAAGGUGUUAGGCACCCGGAGCGAUUAUGAUAUUCCAUAAGAACCGCUCUCCUUAGUUUAUUUCUACACUUUAGUUUUAUUGCUUAUUUGUAAAAAAGGAAGGUAUGAUUAGUUAAGAACGGAGGUGAGAAGAAGUAGAAUUUGAUUUUAUUUCGGCUUGGAUGAGUUUUGACUCAUUGCCUACGUACCCUUUUAAGGGAUCAAAACCGUUCGUAGUUCUUGCUCAAAAAAUGGUUUUUUUUGUUUUUGUUGGUUGAUUUUAAGUUUGAAAAGAGAUUUUGAAGAAUAGAGACGAGAGGCCUCAAGGGCAUAAGGUUUGGAAAGUGUGAGGUGGAUUUAGUCAUUUUGCAAAAAUAAAGUCCAAGAAGGAUUAAGAUUCAUUAAAAGUUUUACUUAAGAAAAUAAAGGGAAAAUAAGGAGUUUUGACUCCAUUUUAUUUUCAAAAAAAAGGUUUUCAAGUGAGAUUAUUUGCAUGUUUUUUUUGGAAAAAAGUUGGAUUUUUAUCUAAGUGUUUAAACCUAAGCGCUUAUCUAACCAUACAAUCCUAUGCAUACAUCUAAGGUGAGUGUGUGCGUGUCGGUGCGUCAUAGUGUCCAUAGUCCAUAUUACAAAAAUUGCCUAAAUACAUUCUAUGGCCCCUUUGCCAAGCUACAAACCAAUGAUAACAAAUUACAUUACCAAAUGAAUUAAAACUUGCAAAAAAAUAAAUGCUAAGCUAAAGAAAGUGGAGAGGGUGGUGGAAUGCUAUGAAACGUAUGGCACAUGAGAUGAAAUGGUUAGUAAUCAUAAAGCACACAAUAGUAGGAAGUAAUUAAAAGGAAAUGCAUAAAGAUGGCAAAGAAAAAGUAAUAAAGUGGUAAUAAACCUAAAAAACAUUUGAUAUGAUACCUAAAGAUGCUAGUGACCCAUAAUCAUCACAUCAUGGCAAUUUAGAAAGAAAUUUUGUUUCAAGCCAUGACAUGCAAUUAAUGGAGGCAUAUGCAUGCAAAAUAUCACACCAAGUUCAUAGAGAAUUUUGCCACUUUAUUCCUUAAGACUAAACUUGUUGCUUGCAAAACAAGAAAUUCAUAAAAUUAUAUUCAAAAACAGCAAACAAAAACACAUUUCCAGAGGCAUAUUCAUCACCAUAUUAGGCAUCCUUUAUCCAUGUCAUAAUAUCAAAAUGUCAAGAACAAAACAUAGCAAAAUGCAUACCAAAAGUGUAAAAACACGUGGAAUUAGUUCAUGCCAUUUUAACAUUUUUUUUUAUGCAAGAAACACCAUAGGAAUACCAAAAAUGUAUCAAGAAAACACUAGGAUUUUUUAGGAUUUGUUUUUAUAAAAAGAUGAGCAAGCAACAGGUGUGAAUAGCAAAAGAGCAGUGUGAAUAGCACAAAAAAUAGCAGAAAACGCAGAAAACCAAAAGAAACAAGCCCAAGCCCAACCUAAAAGAUCCGGAUGCAUGGGAUCCACACGAUUGAUCCAGGAUUCAAAAACCCUAGAUCAAACGGCCAGGAAUCAAAGGAGAUGGACCGGACUGGACCGGUCCGGUUCGCUGGCCUAUAAAAGUGGAGGAACACCGGUUUUUUCAUUUCUCUACUUCCCUUUCUCUCUCUAAGUUCUUCCCUCUUCUCUCAUCUCUCACUUCUCUCUAGAAACCUCACCGCCGGUGAGGAUGAAGCUACGGCGGAGACCUUGAAGGUCCGCCGGAAACUUCAUCUUCUCCGGCGAGACUAUGAACUCCGGUGACCUAAAAUUUCCAGAACUUAAAGAUUUUUGUAUUUUCUGGUUCGUCCUUUAACCCUAAACACGAAUCCAGCAGUUGUUUUUUCAAAUACGGUUUGAAACGACGUAGAUCUAAAAAGUUCCGUACGGUUUUGAAACUGAUUUUUGAUUUUUUGAAAGGAAAUGUUUAGGUCGUUAAAGAUCUACAUCGUUUCGUUGUUCGCUGCUCUUCUUUGAUGUUUGUUCUUGCUUUCAAAACUUAGAUCCUUAUGGAUCUAGGUUUUGUGUUUACGGUUACGGUUUCGUCUUUGAGUUCUGGAAAUUUUGGAUCUGUUGCUUGCGUGAUAUUUUUUUAGGUUUAACAGUGAUAUUACUUUUGAGAAAAGAUUCUGAGUUUUACCUAAGGUUUUGGUUGAAACCUUUAAUGGAGGAAAUCUUUGGAAAAACUUGAAUGCUCUUGAUGAUUUUGAUUCUUCUGCUUGCUUUUGGACCGAAAAUAAAUCGGUGAUUCUCCUUUUCUCACUGAUUCCGUUUCUUCAUCUUCUUCGCCGGUUUAGAACUUUGCUUCUUUCCUUCUUCUUUUCACGCUCUGUGAUCAACGCUUGAGCUUGCUUCAAUGCGAGCUCGCGUUUGGAAUUGCAGAGAAUGAUCAAUUCGAUGAUGAAGAUUCAACAGAAUCUCUGAGAAUUGAUCCAAAAAACUGUUGAUUCUGAUGAAUUUUGAUUUCUGGAAAACGGUUAGGGUUUUGUGUUCUUGGUGUUCUUGAGAGAUUCUGAGAAACUUUUCUGUUUUGAUUCACUUGCUGAGAAAGAGGAAAUUGGAUUUGUGUUUAUGAGUUGGCGUGUGAUUCAUGGCUCUGAGUGGCACUGUACACCUUUUAUAGCAUGACAUGUGUGCAUUGGAACCAAUAAGAAAAGGACACCUGGACUUUGAAAAAAAAGGCACGGCCUUGGCAAAUUUGGCUUCUGGACCUUUCUGCAAAAACAAAGAAUUUGAGGACUAAACUGCAAAAUUAAUUAAAAGGCUUGAAAUGAAAUUAAAAAAACUGUUUGGACAAAAUGCAAUUUUGGGACCUCAAUUGAGGGACCAAAACGCAAUUAAAAAUAAAAUUGAGUAAAAAACGUAAUUUGACCAAACGUAAAGCGAAACAAAAAUAAAAUUGACAAAACGGACUAAAACGAACCAAUGACCUAAAUGAGGUACUUCAAAGUAACCUCUCUAUGCCAAAAUUUUGUGUGAAAUGACCAAAAUGCCCCUAGGGCUAAAAUUGACCUAAACAGAUUGAAAUGGACUUAACACUGACUCAGACGCAAGUUUGAAAUGAAUUUUAACAAGGUUUACUGAUGAAGUGUUUAAAAAUAAUCUGAAAAGAUUCAGAGACAGUCACAAGGAUGAAAAUGGGUCCCACUGCAGGAAAUGACCAAAAUACCCUUCUGUAUGACUUUUUGCAAAUUUUGAAAUAAACUGUGGAAAAAGCAAUGUAAUGAUUCAGAGACACUUUUGAAUGACUUACAAGACAAGUAAAGACAUUUCAAAAGGUUUUAUGCAAGAAAAACAUAGGUAAAAUUGUGAUUGAAAAUACUGCGAGGCAGAGACAAUUUGAACUGUGCAGUUGAAAUUUGAUAAUUGACAAAGUUUGAAAUGAAAUUGGGCCCAGUAUUUUUAGGUCCAAAAACAGGGUAUAACACAUCCAAUUGUAAGUUUUAAGACAUUCUUUCUACAUAUUGAACGAUAUUCAUAAAAAUUAUUAUUCAUCAACACAUCAUAUUUUGAGUAACUACAAAAACCAGUGUGUUUCAUUUCAUUGGAUCGAUGCACCUAAAAUUGGGGGAAAGAAAAAAUAAAUGGCAUUGGAUGAAACAAGUUUCAUUGUACUACAUUCCAUUUUAUUUUAUUUUUUUACGAAACCAAACAAUGAAAUAUGGUUUUAUCUUGCUCCAUUCUACUCCGCCAUUUUCCAUCAAUACAAACAUUGUAUAAGACUUUGUUUACAAGUUUGGAGGAGAAUGUAGCUUUCAAAAAAUUAUAAGUCAUUUUUAGAAGAAAACAAUUGUCAUAAAUUAUAAGUCACUUUACAAUGUUAAUGAAUUAAUGUUAUUUUCGUUUCGAUUAUACCCUUAACUGGUUUUUUUUUUUUUUCUUUUCAAAUUCUUUAAAUUAAUUUUCCGAUAUAUUUUUUUUUAAAUAUAAAUAUAUUAUCAAAAUAUAGAUUUGUCAUGACCCACCACAAUUUAGUAACAAGGCUCUUCAAACUAAAUCAUGACCGUCGGUGGGUUUUCUUUAGACUUGGAAUUAUAUUACAAAUGUGAAAGUGAGACCAAUAAUUGAAUUGCUUUAUAUCAACAAUGAUGACGAGCUAGCUGUAAAGAUUGUCAAUAAUGGAAACAUCACUUUAUACUACAGUGUUGAACAAGAUUAAAACAAGAUAUUGAAAUUAUUGUUUAGAUGUGUCUAGAAAGCGACCUGAAUCUUGCAACUCAAUGCAGUUGAUCAGAUCAGUCCAAGCUUUCACUGCCGUAAAUCAAAAUCAAACCCAUCAUAGUUGAGGAAUUACAAUUGUGGAAACUCAGCUCACCUCGAGUAUAAUUGGGGUGUGUUUGUUUCAAGUUAUAAUUGUUGAUUCUCGGGAAUAAAAUGAUAGGAAUGUAUAUGCCUAUGUUUGUUAUAAGUUUACUAAAUUUUAUUCCCGGGUAUAAAAUGUUCCUCGGAAUAUAAAAAAUUUCCCAAGGAAAAGGGUGGGAAUAAAGUUCCCAUGAAGAUGGGAAUAAAUUCAUAAAUAGUUUACAUAUUAUAAUCCCUAUUUUUAUGGUUCUUAGGAAUAUUAUAAAGCUAACCAAACAUAUUUUUCCUAAAUUCCUUGGAAUAAAAUUCUCAUAUUUAUAUUCCAAGGAAUGUUAAUCCUAAAAAUAAAUUUGGUAAACUUGAAACAAACAUUUGUGAUUGUACAAACCAUCCAAAGACUUGUAAAUUUAAUAUUAUGUUUCCUAAAAUGUCUUAUAUAUAUAUAUCACAUUGUUCUUUUAAUUUUUUUUCUUUCUUUCUGAAAUAUCAAAUAUAAUAUCAAAAUAUUGAUUUUUACCUCCAAAGUCUUUUCUUCCAAAAUUCAACUCGCAAAACUUCUAAAACUCAAUAUUUAACUUUUCAAUUAUUGCAUCAUUUUUUUAUUGUAUGAAUCCAUGUGUAUUGUUUUUAGAUUUCCAAAGUGUUGUAUUUUGGUUUUCUAAAUUCUAUUUUGAAAGAGAAUAUCUAUCGAAAUUGUUACUAGGUUGAGUCACGACCAGGUUGCUCUUUUAAGACAUUUCGUGGCACUGCUUAAAAUUGUGCAAGACAGACUAUUAACCACACUGCCUCCAGGAUUAAAAACAAGUUCAACUACAAUUGUGCGGUCAACUACUGACUACAAUUGUGCGGUCAACUACUGACUGUAGAAAACAGUUCGAGUAUUACACCUCCAAUAUGGUAUUAAGACAACUCUUUUAAUAUUGAAACUCAUAUGGUACUGUGACCACUCUAUUAUAGUGUUGAAACCACUCAAAUAUGGUGUUACCACCAUUCUAAUUUUUAACUUCUCCAACAAUGGUACUAUGAUCACUCAAAUACAAUGUUACUACCAUUCUAAUUUCUUCAAGAAUUGAAGAAGAAUAUAUUUUUAAGCUCAUUCUUAUUAUACCGAAAGUGGACUAUGAUCUUAAGAUAUUAUUUAUUCUUAAGAGACAUAAUUAAUUGAAAGGACUAUGCUCUUAAGACCAUUCUUAAUUCCGAAAUGACAAUAUACCGAAAAAGGAUUGUGAUCUUAAGAACACUUUUAAUAUCGAAAUGACAGGAAAAAUAAAUAAAUAAGGAGAAGAAUAACUCGUUAACACAAGCUGGAGGGAGAAGAGAGAAAGAGUUCUCGACAAAGGGGUGGGAAUAGGUCAAACUAGGCUUUGAUAGGUCUAAGCUUGGCUUACAAAAAAUUUUGCAAGUCUGAGUCUGGUCUAUGGCCUUUCAGCCUAUAUUUUUGGCUUGAUCUAGCCUAUUUAAAAGUCUGCCUAGCUUAAAAACCUAUUUACAGGUCUACUUCAUAUUAAAGUCAUUAAAUAUUCAACCUAUUUAAGUAUAAGGCCUCAAAGCCUAUUUAAAAAGUGCAUUAUUUGAGUUUUUUUUCUUGAUUUUUAUGUUUAAUAUAAAUUAUAUUUUAAUAUAAAUAAAAAAUAAAUUUUAAUAAUAUGCAUAAAUAAAGCCUAAGCCUAGCCUUUUUCGUAAACAGGUCAGGCUUAAACCGGAAAAUUCACAACUAACUUGCGAACUUCUAAUAAUGAUUAAAUUAAUUAUUUAAUAUUUAAUUUAACAUUUCUAAAUAAUAAAAUAUAUAUUUUUUCAACAGUGCUUACUUCAUUUACAUAAUUUUGCACCCCCUUUAAAGGUACACCUUAUUAUAUAAGGACUACUAAUUUAUGUGUCCCAUUUAAUGUGAGACUUUCACUUUUUUCAAUUCACACAACAUUGGUUCUACCCAACAUAAAAUUUUGUGUUUAAUCUUUUAACUCAAUUUUCACACAUGUUUCAACAAUGUGCCACCAAAUAUUUUCUUGACCCACCACACUUUAGCUAGCUAAAUCAUUGCAAACGUGAAAGUGAGACCAAUAAUGACUAGCUAGCUGUAAAUAUUCUCAAUUCUCAAUAUUCUUAUGAUGCUAGCGACUGCAAAUUGGAAAACCAAUAAAUAACAAUAUCAUUUUACUUGAUCAAGUUUGGUUGAUUCCUGCACACUUCAAAGAUAAAGUAAGUUUUCUAAAAUUGUUGGAAAGAUUGUCUAGUUGUUGAACCAAAAUUAAGCCUCCUAUGUAUAUUUCUACAGCAGAGUUGCUCAGACGGCUUGAACAUUUGCUGAAAGUGUGCUGGAGUUAUGGUAACCAACAAACAAUCAUGUUUUAACAAUUUUCAGUCGAUAUCAAUUGGUCUCAGGUAAAUUGCUGAAAGUGUACUUGAGUAUGCGCUGAAUGUGCCGAAAAUACUGUGUUGGAAAGAUCAGGUAAAUAUCAAUUUCAUUUUGCUUCAUCAUUCAUUCAAAUAUAAAGUAGGUUUUCUGAAAUUGUUGGAAAGAUUGUCUAGUUGUUGAACCAAAGUAUAUUUCUACAGCAGAGUUUCAAUGAACGCUUGAACAUUUGCUGAAAGUGCUGGAGAUAAGGUAACCAACAAACAAUCAUACUUUAACAAUUUUCAGUCAAUAUUUUAAUUAAUUGUUUACAAAGGUUUAUAAAUCAACUAGAGAAACCAACUCGAGUUGAUAAGGUAGAAUCAAACAUAGUCUAUAAGGAAUUUUUUGCAGUGAAUAUUACUCCUAAUUCUCUAAAUUCUAGCUGCUGCCUGCUGUCGAGAAAGAAAAAUAUUGUUAAAAAGUACGUCCUUACAACAGUAACACAAUUGAGGUAGAAAAUAAUCUCAUGGUUGUUUUUCUUUUAUCACUUCCUCAGAUUUUCUAUUUGUAUAUGAUUUCCAAUUUUGGUCUUCACUCUACUUUUCUACAUGGUCCUUUUUUCAUGACUUGUUUAUCAUUUUCAAAGAUAAAUUGGGUAUUCAGAGAUUGGCUUAAAGGAUCUUAAACUUUAAUAUUGGAUGAACUCCCAUUUGAACUUUCUCAAAUAUUUGUUUGAACAAGCUAAGAAAAUUCUUUGAUGAAAAGUGUGUCAUCAACUAUCAUUUUUCAAAUUAACAGACCCUGAAUGAAGAAAAUCUUCUUACAAUAAAAGAACAUGAAUGAUAUGCUAUGAGAAUGAGAUUCAUUAUCAACCAUUGUAUUUUUCAACAUACACAAACAUAUGUCUAACUUUGAUGUAUUGAAAUUCAUUUAGAUGGCGAGUUUUCUAACUGAUUUGGCGAAGACCUAUGUGGAGAAAUUGAUAAAUGGGGUGAUCGCAGAGUCAAGUUAUAUAUGUUGCUUCACGUGCAUUGCUAAUGAUUUUGAAGAAGAAAGAUCUAGAUUGGAAAUAGAAAGCACAACAGUUAAGCAACGUGUUCAUGUGGCAACCAGUAGAGGAGAAGUUAUUCAAGCUAAUGCUCUUUUUUGGGAAAAAGAAGCUGAUGAGCUCAUUCAAGAAGACACCAAAACAAAACAAAAAUGUCUUUUUGGAUUUUGUCCUCAUAUCAUAUGGCGAUAUAAAAAGGGAAAGGAACUGACAAAUAAGAAGGAGCAAAUUAAAAGAUUGAUUGAAAAUGGAAAGGAUCUUGUAAUUGGACUCCCUGCUCCUCUUCCAGAUGUUGAACGUUAUUCAUCCAGAGACUAUAUUUCUUUUGAAAGUAGAAAAUCCAAAUACAAAGAGCUUUUUGAUGCUCUGAAAGAUGACAACAGUUAUAUAACCGGGUUGCAAGGGAUGGGGGGCACAGGAAAAACUACAAUGGCCAAAGAAGUGGGGAAGGAACUUAAGCAAUUCAAACAAUUUACUUACGUCAUCGAUACAACAGUGUCAUUGUCUCCUGAUAUCAGAAAGAUUCAAGAUGAUAUCGCUGGACCCUUGGGAUUGAAAUUUGACGACUGUGGUGAAUCAGACCGACCCAAAAAACUAUGGAGCAGAUUAACCAAUAGAGGUAAGAUUGAUCAGAACGAGGAAAAGAAGAUUCUUCUAAUAUUGGAUGAUGUGUGGGAUGUUAUCGAUUUUGAUAAAAUAGGGAUUCCUGACAAUCACAAAGACUGUAGAAUUCUUGUAACCACGCGCAAUCUCUAUGUCUGCAACAGAUUAGGAUGCAAUAAGACAAUCCAACUGGAGGUCUUAUCUGAUGAAGAAGCAUGGACCAUGUUCCAAAGGCAUGCUGGUCUAAAAGAAAUGUCACCUGCAAGUUUGCUCGACAAGGGCCGCAAAAUUGCAAAUGAAUGCAAAGGAUUACCGGUUGCAAUUGUUGUUAUCGCCAGUAGUUUGAAGGGCAUACAAAAUCCGAAAGUGUGGGAUGGAGCCUUAAAAUCCUUGCAAAAACCCAUGCACGGUGUUGAUGAGGAAGUUGUUAAAAUUUAUAAAUGCUUGCAUGUUAGCUAUGAUAAUAUGAAGAAUGAGAAUGCCAUGAGACUAUUCCUCUUGUGUUCUGUAUUUCGAGAAGAUGAAAAAAUUUAUACCAAAAGGUUAACCAGACUUGGCAUCGGAGGAGGCCUUUUUGGGGACGAUUUUGACAGCUAUGAUGAUGCUCGAAACCAAGUUGUUAUAUCCACAAAUAAACUCCUAGAAUUUUGUUUAUUGUUGGAGGCCGGUCGAGAUCAAAGCAUCCUGAGAAUGCAUGACUUGGUUCGUGAUGCUGCCCAAUGGACGAGCAGAGAGUUUCAAAGAGUAAAGUUAUAUGAUAAAUAUCAAAAAGCAAGGGUUGAAAGGGAGAUGAAUAUUAAAUAUUUAUUAUGUGAAGGCAAGCCUAAGGAUGUGUUUUCCUUUAAGCUUGAUGGUUCCAAGCUUGAGAUUCUAAUUGUCAUUAUGCAUAAGGAUGAAGAUUGUCAGAAUGUGAAAAUCGAAGUCCCGAACUCAUUCUUUGAAAAUAUUACGGGCCUUCGAGUUUUUCAUCUAAUAUAUGACCAUUAUCCUAAUAUAUCUCUAUCAUUACCUCACUCAGUUCAGUCGAUGAAAAAUAUUCGAUCUCUUCUCUUUGAGCGUGUCAAUUUGGGUGACAUCUCUAUUUUGGGAAACCUGCAAAGCCUUGAGACUCUUGAUUUGGAUGAUUGUAAAAUUGAUGAAUUGCCUCAUGGAAUCGCAAAACUAGAGAAACUGAAAUUAUUGAACUUGAAUAAUUGAAGAAUUGCAAGGAAUAAUCCUUUUGAAGUGAUUGAAGGAUGCUCAUCACUUGAAGAGUUGUAUUUCACAGGUAGCUUUAAUGAUUUUUGCAAAGAAAUAACUUUCCCUAAACUACGAAGGUUUAAUAUUGAUGAAUAUUCAAGUUCAGUGGACGAAUCAUCAUCAAAGUGUGUGUCUGUUUUAUUCAAAGAUAAGUUUUUCCUAACUGAAAGAACACUCAAGUAUUGUAUGCAAGAAGCAGAGGUUCUUGCACUAAGAAGAAUCGAGGGGGAAUGGAAAAACAUCAUACCUGAGAUUGUUCCCAUGGAUCAAGGUAUGAAUGAUAUAGUUGAGCUUCGUUUGGGAUCCAUUUCACAAUUACAGUGCCUCAUUGACACUAAGCACACUGAAUCUCAAGUGUCAAAAGUCUUCUCCAAGUUGGUUGUACUAGAACUUUGGAACCAAGAUAAUUUGGAAGAAUUGUUCAAUGGUCCUCUUUCCUUUGACUCUCUGAAAAGUUUAAAGGAGUUGUCCAUCAGUGAUUGUAAACAUUUGAAAAGCUUAUUUAAGUGCAACCUAAACCUAUUCAAUCUAAAGAGUGUGUUAUUGAAAGGAUGCCCGAUGUUGAUCUCCCUAUUACAACUGUCAACUGCUGUUAGCCUAGUGUUGUUGGAGACGCUGGAAAUAAUUGACUGUGAGCUUCUUGAAAACAUAAUAAUAGAUGAAAGAAAAGGGCAGGAAUCGAGAGGUGAAAUAGUCGAUGAUAAUGAUAACACAAGUCAUGGCUCAAUGUUUCAGAAAUUGAAAGUUCUUAGUAUUAAGAAGUGUCCAAGAAUCGAAUUAAUACUUCCGUUUCACUCUCCUCAUGAUCUUCCAACACUAGAAUCCAUCACAAUUAAAAGUUGUGAUAAGCUGCAGUACAUAUUUGGCAAAGAUGUCAAACUUGGUUCCCUCAAAAAAAUGAUGCUUGAUGGCAUACCGAAUUUGAUCCAUAUUUUCCCAGAAUGUAACCGUACCAUGGCUUCGCCCAUUAAGAAGACAUCUUCCAAGCCAGAAGAUCAAUCAAAGUCAAUCAAAUGCAAUAUGUUUUCAUGGACUGAUAUAUAUUGUUGUGGUAAAAAAUAUGGUAACACAAGUACUAAAAUCCCAUUGGUUUCUGAGUCUAAGGAUCAACAACAGGACAACUUAAUGGUAACCCUCUCACUUUAUAUUCCAUGAUAUUUUUUAUAUUUUUUUUUAUAGGAAACUGUUGGUACAUUUUAUUAUUUGAAAAAACUAUUUUUUUAAGGAAAACAAAACUACUAAUAUAAUAGCAAAUUACUAAAUACCAAAAAGUGUUCACUUUUUUUUGUGGUGUCCGGGAUUCAAACCCCAGACCUUGCAUAUAUUAUGCAUUGUCCUUACCAUUUGAACUAAGCUCACGAGGACCAAAAAAGUGUUCACUAAUACAAUAUAAUAAUGUACCCAUUUUUUCGUAUCAAUUAAUAGUAUAACAAGUAUAAUAUUAUUUCAAGUAUUUAAGAGCAUCUCCAAUGGGAGGUUCUUACUUAACAAGGAUCACUCCCUAUUAAAGACCCCCCAUUGGAGGAAGAAAAAAUGAGUUCUUAUUAAGGAACGGGUCACUAUAUAAAGACUCUUUCUCUCCUAAGCAACUAAUGGGUUCCACGUUUAAAAUAAAUAAUAAUAUAUGUAUUACUUGGUCCCACUUGCAAAAGAAAUAAUAUUUUAAGAAUUGGUCCCACUUGCAAUAUAAAUAAUUUUUUUCUUUUAAUGAUGUAAAGUUAGUGAGACUUAUUUAAGUAAUUUUUAUGGGAGUCCUUGUUAGUGUAUUACCAUUGGAGUCAUCGGGUCUUUAAUAGAUACUUUUAUUAAAAAAAUUAUAAAUAAGUGAUGUGUACAUGCGGGAUCCAUUUAAGGAGUCCCUAUUAAAGAUUACCAUUGUAGAUGCUCUAAUAGCUUUGGUGCAUUAAGUUAAUUAUAGAUAAAUGUAAGUCGGUCUGUAAAUUAAAUAUCAAUGUUAAUUUAAUUAAAUAAUGUAGUACUUUCUUUUGGUUACAUUCUAAUAUAAUAAUUUAUAAUCCAUAGCCAUUUGUUGCAGGAAUUGAGUGGGAAUGUGGACCAUUUUCUCUCUUUGGAGAGACUCAUAGUAAAGAAUAACUCCAAAGUAGAAAGUAUCAUUUGUAUAAAUGAAAUAAAUGAACAGCAAAUGAACUUAGCUUUGAAAGACAUUGAUUUGGAUGUUUUGCCUGCGAUGACAUGCCUUUUUGUGGGUCCAAAAAAUUUGUUUUUCCUCCAAAACCUUACCCAUUUAAAGAUCAUGCGAUGUGAAAAAUUGAAAAUUGUUUUCUCCACUUCUAUAAUAAGGUAUCUACCACAGUUGCUUAUCUUGAGAAUUGAAGAAUGCAAAGAAUUGAAGCAUAUAAUUGAAGAUGAUUUGGAGAAUAAAAAAUCCUCAAAUUUUAUGUCCACAACAAAGACAUGCUUCCCAAAGUUAAAAAUGGUUGUUGUAGUAAAGUGCAACAAGUUGAAAUAUGUCUUUCCAAUCUCCGUAUGUAAAGAGCUUCCUGAGCUAUAUUAUCUGAUCAUAAGAGAAGCAGACGAGUUAGAGGAAAUAUUUGUAAGUGAAGGUGAUGAUCACAAAGUGGAGAUUCCAAAUCUGAAAGUUGUAAUAUUUGAAAAUCUACCAAGCCUCAAUCAUGCCCAGGGAAUUCAAUUUCAAGAUGUAAAACAUCGUUUCAUACAGAAUUGUCAAAAACUCUCUCUGACUUCAGCAAUAACCGCAGACUUUAAAAAGGAUCUUUCCGGUUUAUAUAUUAACAUCUACGGUAACAUCUACGGUACACACUUCUUCAAAAAAAACAUCUACAGUACACAUUCUAUCCAAUAUUUUUUUAAAUUAUUACAUGUUGGCAGGGCCGUCCCUGUGAAAUAGGAGGCUCGGCUCUCUUUUUAAAAUAGGCCCCUAGUAAAAUAAAAUAUAAUUUUUUUUUGUGUAGCUAAAUUUCAUUAAAAGAAAUCAAAAUCAGAAGAACUUCUAAACAUGAAAGGAAUUAAAAAAAAUUAAGUGAAAGAGGUGAAAUUUAUCUAACGGCGUCGUUUGAACUUGUCACUCCUCUGUUGUGGAAAAUGGUAAAACGAAUGGUUUAUGCGAAGAAAAAAUGAUUGUUGUGAUUCUUUCAAUGAAAUAGCUUUCCAAAUUGACUGAUUAAGUGAUUAUACAAAUUAAGGGUGAUUUGAUAGGAUCUGAUUUAUGUACAAAAAGGAGAACUAGAGUCUAGAAAAAAUCUCAAAUGUGUACUAAAGAAAGAAAAUGAUAUAACAUAUAUAUUUUUUAGUUAAAUGGGGGGUGGGUAUUAUAUUUAAUUUUUCGUUAAAGGCCCGUAACAUUUGAAGGCCCGAUCUGGUUGAGCACCUUGCACACCCUCAAAGCCUGGCCUACAUGUUGGUUGUAAAAUAUUACAUACCAUUUGUUUAAAGGAUAUAUAAACAACUGAAUCUUCUAAAGUAGCGAUAUAAGGUAUGCUGUGUGCAUGCAUAAGUAUUUCUAAAAUGUAAGGGCUCAUGUAGUGACCUAUCUAAUAUAAGCUUUAAUUUUAUGUAAAAUUUAAUUAUUAUAUAGAUAGAUAAACAAUGGGCUUAAAUGCACUUUUCAUCGCCUAAUUGUUUACAAAAAUAGCGAUUUUGACCCUUUUUAAAAAAAUGGCAAAAGUGAUCCAUGUUUACCCCUUUUGCAAACCUCAAUUCUGACUUUGUCAACCGUAGGUGGCCUGUGUAUUUUUUUUUUUAUUUUUUUUUAUUUUUUUUAAUUGGCAAUUCCACGCGUUUAUUAAAUGAAAUUAAAAAAAAACAGAUUGGAAGAAAAAUAGAGAAGGCACGUGCAAGCUCUCAUCAAUUAUUUCUCUUCAUCAAUUUUUCAUGUGUUCUUCCCCAAAACUUUGAUCUUCAUGUUUAUGUGUUCUUCCCCGAAAUCCAAAUCUAAAAAACAACUUACCAUCAUCAAUUGUUUGGUCCUAAAAAAAAUCAUUCUCGUUAAUAUUAGAAUAUAGUGAGAAUAAACUAGAGUUACUUAGUGGUAACUAUAGUAGAAAGUUAGUUAGAGAGUUAGUUACUCCAAGUCACUAUAAAUAAGCUACACCUAUGUACUAUUUCACCAUCUUUUAUUCAAUUGCAUCUUUGUGAUGACUCCUAGAGAGAACUACACAAUUUACCUUUCCAUUGCAUUUGAUCUAGAACCAUGGAAUCCUUUGAUUCAUAACAAUUAACACUCAAAUAUUCAAACUCGUGACUUUCAUCACAAAUUUAUUAACUUGCCAACAACCUUGAGAAAAACUACCAUAGUCUCCGAGGUUCAUCUACGAACAUGAGAACGAAAUUUGGAAAAACAACCAUCUCCAACCCAAACCCAACAUACAAACACAUAUCUGUUCCCAAAACCUUGAAAUACAACCUUCAAUUGAAACUCAUAAAAUUAAAUAGAUAAAAAACUGGGAAAAAAAAAAAGUGGAAUCAAUUUGAUGGGUUGAAGUUUUGUGUUUGAAACUAGAAGAUGAUUCAUAAUGGAUCUGCGAAAAAAAUUAAAUUAGAACAAGGAGAGUGGAAUUUUUAUGUUUGAAUUCAUUUGGUUUGAUUAUCAUUGGGUGAUGCUUCAGCUUCUGUGGAUUGUCGUGGUGCUAAUGGUGGUGGUGAUGGUGAUGAGAAGAAAAAGAAGAAGGUUGUUGGAUAGUUCUUCGUGCAAAAGGGGGUAAACAUGGGGUUACUUUUGCCAUUUUUUUGAAAAGGAGUCAAAAUUGUUAUUUUUGCAAACUUACGGGUUAAAUAGUGCGUUUAAGCCUAAACAAUAUUGUGCAUCUUUAAACAUAAAAAUGAUGAUUUUAUUAUUCUCUAUAUAAUGAUGUUAAUCUCUAUAUUAUUUCGCUGUAGAUCCUGAAUUGUGUAAGUAUUUCGUGUUUCUGUUUGUACAACAAUUAAAAAAAAAGACCAAAGGCAACAAUAGUCGUAAUGAAAAUCCAGAAACCUCAAAAAAAAUUGCCGUUGGGGUUGAAGUUAAAGCAUCAUCAGAACAUGGGCUGACUUCUCCAAAGGUCAAUACCAAUCUAUUGAUUCAAGCUUACCACACCAGAAUUUUAAUGGAUGUAAUUACUAAUUAAUAGCUUAAGAUCAUUAAUGCUUAUGUUCUUGUUACAGGAGUUGAUGAAUGAACAAUCAAUGGACCAACAACGUUCACUUGGAGAAACUGAUACUUCCGUCAAACCUUCUCAGGUAAAUCGUGUAAAAACCAAGAUUACAAAAGAAUGAGCCACCUAUACAAUUAAUUACACCUAUUGGACCCACCACCAUUUAUAUCCGUAAAUUACUCUUUAGCACUAUCACAAUCACUCUUUUAUGCAAGUGUCAUUGGUUGAGCAACACUUAAGUGUUGUUCUCCUACCCAUCGGCAAUUAAAUGUUGUUAGAUCGGUUCAAUCACUUUUUAAAUCGGUUAAAAAGUAUCUGAAUGACAGUUAACUACCGUUAGGGGGUAAAUGAAUAAUUUUGGAGCCUGAUAGCAAUUUUAGAAGCCUAAAGAGCAAUUGUCUUUAUAUCCUUGCACCAAGUCCAACAUUUUAUGAAUUUGUUUUAGGUCCAACCAAGAUUUUAAAAAAGCUAAAAGUGAAAUACUAAAAGAAAAAGAUUUUAUUUCAAGUGCUUCUUAUAAAUAUAUGGAUUGUGGAACUAACUAAUUUACAUUUUUAUGAUAUGCAAUUAGUUGGAGGGUUCUACUACAUCAGAAAAAAAAUGUAGCAAAAACGUGUUCCACCAAUUCACCAACAAAAAAUGAGCCACCUAUACAAGUAGUUACUCCUUCUUAGUAUUCAUUUUGACACUUUGUCAAUGCAGGAGUUGAAUUAUACUACAAUCUUAAAAAUCUUUUAAAUUUUAAGCAGGUUAGUGAAAUAAGUGUUGAAGAAGGAACUACAUCAGCUAAUGCCAAGAGAACAACAGCAUCAUCACAAGUGAGUUUAUUUUAUUUAACAUAGCCUUCAUAUUAACUUGGUCUUUUUAUUAUUAUUAUUAUUAUUAUUAUUAUUCAAUUUUCAUGGAAUUGGAUUUGUAAGAAUCAAGCUCGAAGCUAAUUUCGAUAUAUCGAGAAGAAAAAAAAUUGGAAUCUAUUUGUUGUCAAAAUUCCGAUUUAAAUCGUAAAAUUCAGGAUUUUGCGACUUUAUUCACUUUCAGUGACUCAAAUCCAUAGCAAAAUUCUCAAAUAGGCAAAAUUCUAGUAAAAUCACAUCAAAAUCGUAAAAUCCAUACAAAAUCGAAGGAUUUUAAAGGGUUUGAAGGAUUUUAUCCAUUUUUGUAUAAGUAUUUUGUGGACAAUUUAUAACAUAUGUUUAACAUUAUUUUUGUUUUGGUAAAAUAUAUUGAUUUUGAUUCCUAUUUUACAAUUUCUUAUAUCAAUUUUACAAAAGUAGUUGAGUAAAAUCCUUCGAUUUUGAUAGCGAUUUUACGAUUCUCGAUUUUACUCUACCAUUUUAACUUGAAGUAAAAUCCUAAUUUUGACAACCUUGAAUCCACAGCUUUUGAAUUUUGGAAAAGUUUUAUUUAAGAAAGUAUAAUGUUAGACAAGUUUAGACCAUUUUAUCCUUGAUUCAUUUACAAAAAAUUAAUUCAUUGAAUGCAUGCUUUGGGUUUUUGUAAGGGUACAAAAGAAAAAAUAUCAUUAAUCCAAAAAAAUAUUAAGACUUGAUGAUGAUAUCAUUUGUUUAUUUGAAUUUGUGUAGGAAUGUGGUGACUGCCAAAUAGUCAUACCUUCUCAGGAUGUUGAUAUUAACAUCAAUGAUGAUCAAGGUGAUGAAGACUCUUUAGAUCAAUUAUAUUUUCUUUAGUUACCUCAUCACUCACCCUUUUCAUUUUGAACUUUAACUCUCUUCUCUCACACCAUUUGUUCAGUUUCUGUAAAUGAUGAUGCUGUCAUAAAAGUAAAGGAACAAUUAUCUAAGGAUGUUGAAUUUAAAGUUCCAGAAUCUAUCAUUCCUUUGCCUCAAGAAUUUCAAACUCCUUCAAUGCUAUCCGGAGGUAUAGAUUUUCUCCCUUAUCUUAAAAACUUAAUUUUGUGCUAAAAAUAGGAUUAAUUAUUCUUUCCUUUACUUUCAGGAGACCCUUCUCAAAAUGUAGAAGAUUUAAGUUCUUCUUUGUUUGUCAAGAGUGAGCUUGAGCAACUAGUCUCCAAGAAUCAUUUGGAUUAUGAGAACUUAUCUCUAUUGACAGGUUUCCUUGUUAAAAAUCCUUCUGUUCGUUUAAAAGACAAUUCACUGCGUAAUAGAUUCAAGGGUUGUGCUUACAACUUAUUGGCAGAGCUAUUGAAAUUCCUUGAAACUCAUAGUGUCUUGGAUGUAUUAGGCUCAUGCCACUCUGAAUUUGUGGAUCUACUACUAGAUGCGCGCAACUUUGGUUUUGAUAAGGAUUGGUUGGAUAGUGUCGAAAGGCGGGCUAUGUUUCCUGAUAUACAAAUAUCUCAAGACGCCAUGCAAAAAUUAUUGGAUUCCAAGCAACAAAUUACCAAGGAAGUUGAAGUGUUGCAUUUAAAGAUAGAGAUUUUAAGUCAACAUGUGGAAGAUCUUAAGCAUCAAUUGACAUCCUCUAAAGCUGUUUUGAAGAAUAUAAUUCAACAAGAGGCGGUUUUAAGUGCACCUAUUGGUUAUUAGACUAUAUUUUCAAGUACUUUUAUUUCAUCAUUGCUGCUUUGUUAUGCUUUUCAUUGUGGGAACCUUUGUUCUUCAAUAUUUUUUAAUAAGGUUUUGAUUGGAUGGUGUCAAAAAGUGCGCUUUGUUUCUUGAUUUCCAGGUUUUGACUCUACAGGUGAGGAGUCUUCCGCCUAAUUCUACCCAAAGCCCCAAUCUCUUCCCGUAACCAAGAGACUUCAUCCUAAUAGUGUUUCCCAAGGUGAAUCAAUCCUCAAACCCUAGUGUUUGUUCCCAAGAGACAAACUCUAGUUUUGUUGUUGCCUUUCUAAACCCUUGUUUCAGCCCCCUCUAUCUCAAGGUUUACUCUGAUACAACGCAUAUAUUUAUAGUAAAAGAAUCCUCAAUAAAACUGGAACAAAUCUAGGCCCGAAAAUACGUUUCUGUUUUAUUUUCUGCUGUCAAAAUCGGCCACCGAAUGCUCCAAAUCGGUCGCUGAUUUUUGCCGAACCAAUAAACAAAAAACCAGAGUGCAAAAUCGGCCACCGAUUUUCUACUUCCAGAAUUCCAAUUUCUUCAAUUUUGAGGCACUUUCACAACAAUCUCCACCUUGACUUUAAAUUAAUGAUGAUGCCAAACCAUCAACCACCAUGCUGCUCUUUCCCUUGCUUCCCACUACACCAAGUAGCUCCACAAGUUUACACCUUAAUCCCUUCAGCCAUCGGAAUGUCUUCCUCCUUCUCAAAGGUCCUUGCAGUCCAACUACACUAGAAAUUUUAGGUAGUUCCACAAGCAUUCACCUUAACCUCUUCAGCCAUCGGAACGUCUUCCGUCUUCUCGAAGAAUCCUUGCAGUCCAACUACAUUAGGUGUUUUAGGUAGUUUCACAAGCAUUCACCAUAACCUCUUCAACACAUGACAUCUUCCGCUUCCUUGAAAGUCUCCUUGCUUCCAAUCACCCUUGGCCUUUUUUUAGGGUAAUCCCGCAAGUUGCGCUAUACAUUCUUCAACCUCCGGAAUGCCUUUCGUCUUCAUGAAGAAAUCCCUUGCUCGCCAUAGAGCAUAGCACCCAAGGUCAUCCAUAGUCGUACCAUUACCGGUGUGUUCAACUCCACCUCAAGCUGAGCGUACUCUACCUCAACUAGCAAAUGCGUACAUCCCACUAUGUCUUCAACCUUGAAACUCCACCUCAACAGGUAGAUCAUGAGUAUUAUAGAUUUGUCAUGACCCACCUCAAUUUAGUAACAAGGGUCUUCAAACUAAAUCAUGACCGUCGGUGGGUUUUCUUUAGACUUGGAAUUAUAUUACAAAUGUGAAAGUGAGACCAAUAAUUGAAUUGCUUUAUAUCAACAAUGAUGACUAGCUAGCUGUAAAGAUUGUCAAUAAUGGAAACAUCACUUUAUACUAAAGUGUUGAACAAGAUUAAAACAAGAUAUUGAAAUUAUUGUUUAGAUGUGUCUAGAAAGCGACCUGAAUCUUGCAACUCAAUGCAGUCGAUCAGAUCAGUGCAAGCUUGAGGAAUUACAAUUGUGGAAACUCAGCUCACCUCGACUAAUUUCAGUUUCCAUAAUCCACUCACCCAUUAACAAAAAAGAUUUAUCCUUAGCCAAUAAAAUUGUGCAAUUGAACGAUUCGUGGAAAAUUAUUCAUCAACGCAUCAUAUUUUGAGUGAUGAAAGGUGGAUUUCUCGGAUCUCAUCAUAAGAUCCCUCAUCAUAAUACCCCCACAAAAAAUUAUAAGAAAAAUUAUUCAUCGACACAUCAUAUUGAGAAAUUACAAAAACUUGUGUGUUUCAUUCCAUUGGAUAUAUCUAAAAUUGAGGGAAUGAAAAAAAAUAAAUGGUAUUAGAUGGAACGGAUUUCAUCAUGCUCCAUUUUAUUUCUGUCAUUUCUUUUACAAAAUCAAUCAAUGGAAUAUGAUUUUACCCCGCUCCGCUCCACCAUUUUCCAUUGAUACAAGUCUUAGGUUUUAUUAUGAGUUUAAAGGGGAAAAGAGAGCUUUGAAAAAAAUUAUAAGUUGUUUUAAGAAAGAAAAAAAUUGUCAUAAAUUAUAAAUCACUUUACAAUAUCAAUAAAAUAUGGGAAAUGCUAACUGGUGCCCCCAAGACACUGGUUAAGGAUAUGAAAAAAGAAAUUAAAUAGUAGUUAAUGCAUUGAAAUUGUAUAAUUAAUUUAUAAUAAAGUCAAAAGCAGAUUCCUUUUAUGGUAAUAAUUCCCUUUUAUGGUAUACUUAAACAGUGCUCUGAAGACACCGGUUAGCCCAUAAAAUAUUAAAAGUCAUUUUGAGAAAGAAAAGAUUUAAUUUGCAUACACGACAAUGUAAGUUCCUAAAAUAUCUUUGGAAAUACGUUUUAUGAUUUGAUUUGUUGAACAUCCUACCUUAGAUGACUAAAUCUAUAUGUUGAUCUUAUAUUUAUAUUUUAAAAAGAUUAAAAGAUAAACAUGAUAUAUCAUGUUGUAAUUGUACAGACCUUCCGGAUAUGUAAAUUUAGGGUGCGUUUGUUUCAAGUUAUAUUCGUAUAUUCUUAGGAAUAAAAAGAUAGAAAUAUACAUGCUUAUGUUUGUUACAAGAUUAGUAAAUUUUAUUUUCGGAUAUAAAACGUUCUUGGGAAUAGAAAUAUAUUAUCAAAAUAUAGAUUUGUCAUGACCCACCACAAUUUAGUAACAAGAGUCUUCAAACUAAAUCAUGACCGUCGGUGGGUUUUCUUUAGACUUGGAAUUAUAUUACAAAUGUGAAAGUGAGACCAAUAAUUGAAUUGCUUUAUAUCAACAAUGAUGACUAGCUAGCUGUAAAGAUUGUCAAUAAUGGAAACAUCACUUUAUACUACAGUGUUGAACAAGAUACAAACAAAAUAUUGAAAUUCUUGUUCUCAUCGUGGGUUAUUGUUUAGAUGUGUCUAGAAAGCGACCUGAAUCUUGCUUGCAACUCAAUGCAGUCGAUCAGAUCAGUCCAAGCUUUCAUAGUUGAGGUUUUCAGUUUCCAUAAUCCACUCACCCAUUAACAAAAAAGAUUUAUCCACCACACUUUAGCUAGCUACCACACUUUUAACUCAAGUUUUCUAAAAUUGUUGGAAAGAUUGUCUAGUUGUUGAACCAAAAUUAAGCCUCCAAAGUAUAUUUCUACAGCAGAGUUGCUCAUACGGCUUGAACAUUUGCUGAAAGUGUGCUGGAGUUAAGGUAACCAACAAACAAUCAUGCUUUAACAAUUUUCAGUCGAUAUUUUAAUUAAUUGUUUACAGUGACCAAGUUCUAGAUUUCAUACGAUUAUUACAAGGGUUUAUAAAUCAACUUGAGUUUUAUGCUUUCUAUUAUCUUUUAGACAAACUCUAAAACAAAACUCUAACACUUAUAUUAAUAUUUAACCAUCGUAAACAAAAAAAUAAUUCAAUAAACCAAAGUAUUCAAAAUUGUCUUUAAUGAGAAUCUUUUACAAAUGAAUUGUUUGCACUAUCUUUAAAGAUUCUUGUGAUUCUAGGUACUGCAGACCGGAGAAGGAUGAGGAAGAUUGUUCAUGAGACUUGAGUAUGCGUUGAAUGUGCCGAAAAUACUGUGUUGGAAAGAUCAGGUAAAUAUCAAUUUCAUUUUGCUUCAUCAUUCAUUCAAAUAUAAAGUAGGUUUUCUGAAAUUGUUGGAAAGAUUGUCUAGUUGUUGAACCAAAGUAUAUUUCUACAGCAGAGUUUCAAUGAACGCUUGAACAUUUGCUGAAAGUGCUGGAGAUAAGGUAACCAACAAACAAUCAUACUUUAACAAUUUUCAGUCUAUUUUAAUUAAUUGUUUACAAAGGUUUAUAAAUCAACUAGAGAAACCAACUCGAGUUGAUAAGGUAGAAUCAAACAUAGUCUAUAAGGAAUUUUUUGCAGUGAAUAUUACUCCUAAUUCUCUAAAUUCUAGCUGCUGCCUGCUGUCGAGAAAGAAAAAUAUUGUUAAAAAGUACGUCCUUACAACAGUAACACAAUUGAGGUAGAAAAUAAUCUCAUGGUUGUUUUUCUUUUAUCACUUCCUCAGAUUUUCUAUUUGUAUAUGAUUUCCAAUUUUGGUCUUCACUCUACUUUUCUACAUGGUCCUUUUUUCAUGACUUGUUUAUCAUUUUCAAAGAUAAAUUGGGUAUUCAGAGAUUGGCUUAAAGGAUCUUAAACUUUAAUAUUGGAUGAACUCCCAUUUGAACUUUCUCAAAUAUUUGUUUGAACAAGCUAAGAAAAUUCUUUGAUGAAAAGUGUGUCAUCAACUAUCAUUUUUCAAAUUAACAGACCCUGAAUGAAGAAAAUCUUCUUACAAUAAAAGAACAUGAAUGAUAUGCUAUGAGAAUGAGAUUCAUUAUCAACCAUUGUAUUUUUCAACAUACACAAACAUAUGUCUAACUUUGAUGUAUUGAAAUUCAUUUAGAUGGCGAGUUUUCUAACUGAUUUGGCGAAGACCUAUGUGGAGAAAUUGAUAAAUGGGGUGAUCGCAGAGUCAAGUUAUAUAUGUUGCUUCACGUGCAUUGCUAAUGAUUUUGAAGAAGAAAGAUCUAGAUUGGAAACAGAAAACACAACUGUCAAGCAACGUGUUGAUGUGGCAACCAGUAGAGGAGAAGUUAUUCAAGCUAAUGCUCUUUUUUGGGAAAAAGAAGCUGAUGAGCUCAUUCAAGAAGACACCAAAACAAAACAAAAAUGUCUUUUUGGAUUUUGUCCUCAUAUCAUAUGGCGAUAUAAAAAGGGAAAGGAACUGACAAAUAAGAAGGAGCAAAUUAAAAGAUUGAUUGAAAAUGGAAAGGAUCUUGUAAUUGGACUCCCUGCUCCUCUUCCAGAUGUUGAACGUUAUUCAUCCAGAGACUAUAUUUCUUUUGAAAGUAGAAAAUCCAAAUACAAAGAGCUUUUUGAUGCUCUGAAAGAUGACAACAGUUAUAUAACCGGGUUGCAAGGGAUGGGGGGCACAGGAAAAACUACAUUGGCCAAAAAAGUGGGGAAGGAACUUAAGCAAUGCAAACAAUUUACUAACGUCAUCGAUACAACAGUGUCAUUGUCUCCUGAUAUCAGAAAGAUUCAAGAUGAUAUCGCUGGACCCUUGGGAUUGAAAUUUGACGACUGUAGUGAAUCAGACCGACCCAAAAAACUAUGGAGCAGAUUAACCAAUGAAGGUAAGAUUGAUCAGAACGAGGAAAAGAAGAUUCUUCUAAUAUUUGAUGAUGUGUGGGAUGAUAUCGAUUUUGAUAAAAUAGGGAUUCCUGACAAUCACAAAGACUGUAGAAUUCUUGUAACCACACGCAGUCUCUCUGUCUGCCACAGAUUAGGAUGCAAUAAGAAAAUCCAACUGGAGGUCUUAUCUGAUGAAGAAGCAUGGACCAUGUUCCAAACGCAUGCUGGUCUAAAAGAAAUGUCACCUACAAGUUUGCUCGACAAGGGCCGUAAAAUUGCAAAUGAAUGCAAAGGAUUACCAGUUGCAAUUGCUGUUAUCGCCAGUAGUUUGAAGGGCAUACAAAAUCCGAAAGUGUGGGAUGGGGCCUUAAAAUCCUUGCAGAAACCCAUGCCCGGUGAUGAGGAAGUUGUUAAAAUUUAUAAAUGCUUGGAUGUUAGCUAUGAUAAUAUGAAGAAUGAGAAUGCCAUGAGACUAUUCCUCUUGUGUUCUGUAUUUCGAGAAGAUGAAAAAAUUUCUAUCGAAAGGUUAACCAGACUUGGCAUCGGAGGAGGCCUUUUUGGGGACGAUUUUGACAGCUAUGAUGAUGCUCGAAACCAAGUUGUUAUAUCCACAACUAAACUCGUAGAAUUUUCUUUAUUGUUGGAGGCCGAUCGAGAUCAAAGCAUCCUGAUAAUGCAUGACUUGGUUCGUGAUGCAGCCCAAUGGACGAGCAGAGAGUUUCAAAGAGUAAAGUUAUAUCAUAAAUAUCAAAAAGCAAGUGUUGAAAAGAAGAUGAAUAUUAAAUAUUUGUUAUGUGAAGGCAAGCCUAAGGAUGUGUUUUCAUUUAAGCUUGAUGGUUCCAAGCUUGAGAUUCUAAUUGUCAUUAUGCAUAAGGAUGAAGAUUGUCAGAAUGUGAAAAUCGAAGUCCCGAACUCAUUUUUUGAAAAUAUUACGGGCCUUCGAGUUUUUCAUCUAAUAUAUGACCAGUAUCCUACUAUACCUCUAUCAUUACCUCACUCAGUUCAAUCGAUGAAAAAUAUUCGAUCUCUUCUCUUUGAGCGUGUCAAUUUGGGUGACAUCUCUAUUUUGGGAAACCUGCAAAGCCUUGAGACUCUUGAUUUGGAUGAUUGUAAAAUUGAUGAAUUGCCUCAUGGAAUUGCAAAACUAGAGAAAUUUCGAUUGUUGAAAUUGGAAAGUUGUGAAAUUGCAAGGAAUAAUCCUUUUGAAGUGAUUGAAGGAUGCUCAUCACUUGAAGAGUUGUAUUUCACAGAUAGCUUUAAUGAUUGUUGCAAAGAAAUAACUUUCCCUAAACUACGAAGGUUUAAUAUUGAUGAAUAUUCGAGUUCAGAGGACGAAUCAUCAUCAAAGUGUGUGUCUAUUGUAUUCGAAGAUAAGUUUUUCCUAACUGAAACAACACUCAAGUAUUGCAUGCAAGAAGCAGAGGUUCUUAGACUAAGAAGAAUCGAGGGGGAAUGGAAAAACAUCAUACCUGAGAUUGUUCCCAUGGAUCAAGGUAUGAAUGAUAUAGUUGAGCUUCGUUUGGGAUCCAUUUCACAAUUACAGUGCCUCAUUGAUACUAAGCACACUGAAUCUCAAGUGUCAAAAGUCUUCUCCAAGUUGGUUGUACUAAAACUUUGGAACCAACAUAAUUUGGAAGAAUUGUUCAAUGGUCCUCUUUCCUUUGACUCUCUGAACUUUUUAGAGAAGUUGUCCAUCCAAGAUUGUAAACAUUUGAAAAGCUUAUUUAAGUGCAAACUAAACCUAUUCAAUCUAAAGAGAUUGUCAUUGAAAGGAUGCCCGAUGUUGAUCUCCCUAUUUCAACUGUCAACUGUUGUUAGCCUAGUGUUGUUGGAGAGAUUGAAAAUAAAGGAUUGUGAGGGUCUUGAAAACAUAAUAAUAGGUGAAAGAAAAGGGAAGGAAUCAAGAGGUGAAAUUAUUAAUGAUAAUGAAAGCACAAGUCAAGGCUCAAUAUUUCAGAAACUGGAGGUUCUUAGUAUUGAGAAAUGUCCGGCACUUGAAUUUGUACUUCCGUUUCUCUAUGCUCAUGAUUUUCCAGCACUAGAAUCCAUCACAAUUGAAAGUUGUGAUAAUCUGAAAUACAUAUUUGGCAAAGAUGUCCAGCUUGGUUCCCUCAAAACAAUGGAGCUUCAUGACAUACCAAAUUUCAUCGACAUUUUCCCAAAAUGUAAUCGUACCAUGACUUCAUCCAUUAAGAGGUCAUCUUCCAUUUCUGGAGAUGCUUCCAAGCCACAAGAACAAUCAGAGCCAAUCAAAUGCAAUAUGUUUUCAUGGACUGAUAUAUAUUGUUGUGGUAAAAUAUAUGGGCACAGAUUAAGGAGUACCACAUUGGUUUCUAAGGAUCAACCGCAGGACAAUUUAAUGGUAACCCUCUUACCUUCUAUUUCUUCUGUGAUGUUAUUUUUUGUAAUUUUUUUAAUACGAUACUAUUGAUCUCUGAAGCAUGGGUACAUUUAAAACGGGGGUACGCGUACGGUGCUUAUGGUACUUCAUUUUAGUUCAUUAUUCUAUUGUGAUUUUUUUUUUUUGAGGUAUUAUUCUAUUGUGAUUGAAAAUUGUGACUUUCUCUUAUUUAUUAAUAUGAUAAUAUAGUAUUAUAUUUGCAUAGGAGUUUUUUGUGGUUGUAAACAGCUAAAUUUUCUUACUAUUUAAACUUUUUAUUGUGAUGUUUUUAUAAUAAAUUGAAGAAUUUAGCCCUCUCAUGUUAUAUUAUAUAGCAAAACUCAUGAUUUUAUUGACGUACCCGUUCUUUAGUUUUUUUAAAAAUAAACAUCUUCUUGUACCAGUACCCGUAUCAUAUUUGUACUCAUACCUAUGCAACAUAGUUAUUGAUACAAUUUAUUUUUUGGAAAAAAAAAACUAUUUUUAAAUUCAUUUUAUUAGACAUCGUAUGCUUGAAGAUUACUAUUAAUGUACAGUUUUUAUUUGGGUAGAAAUAAGAGAUAUUUAACUUCUAUUUUUAUUUGGAUGACAUGAUUGCAGAAAUCAACAUUUCCACCUUUGAAAGAACUUGAACUCAAUAACUGCGGGGACGGUAAAAUCAUCAAGGUAUCUCUAUUUUGUAUAUCUUUGUUAUUUGUGAAUCUAAACUUCAUAAUUUUAAGUCAUCAUAUAUUUUUAAAUGAUUUUUUUUUUUUUUAUAAAAAGUUCCCCCACAUAAAUUUCUCUAUUUUUGUUACUUAUUAUAUUUUGAUGUUUAAAAAGUUUAUAUUUCAUUCAUCUUAUGCUAAACAAAAAUUGUGGAGCAACAUUGAAUAAUGUUCAAACCAUGCCUGUAAUUAGGAUUUUAAAAGACAAUUUUUGUAUAAAAAAAGUCUUGUGGAUUUUAAAAGACUUUGAAAAAUCAAUCCUUUAUAUGCUUGGUAACAUAUAGUGAUGAAAUUCAAAAAGAAAUUCAAUUUUGAUUGCAAUGUUUUUUGAAGCAUGACAGACAUUGUGAUGAUAGUUUGAUACUGUAUUUCAUUCCAUAAAUAAUUGGCAUGGAUGAGAAAGUAUUAUAAAAAUGUCAGGAAGUUAUUGUGUGGGAGUUUGGCUAUCACAUUUUAUGGUAUAACAGACUGUGAAAAUGGAAGGGAUGAAGCUACAUAAAAAACAUAUUUGAUAGAAGGACAUGAGAGAAAGGGGAAGGAGAUAAGGGAGAUGUAAAAACAAAAAAGAAAUAAAAAAAUGAGAAUCCAUAGAAAUCUCAUGAUGUUGGUAAAGACUUUUUAAAGCUAAAAAAUCCCUAAAAUUAAAAGUCCAUCAAAAUCCAUAGAAAUCCCAUUUUUUUAACAAUCCAUCGAAAUCAGAAUUUUUUUUAAUACCACAAGACUUUUUGAAAGUUGUAAAAAGUUUUGAUUGAAUAUCACAAGAUUUCUAGACUUUGUUUUAAAAGUCUAGAAAAUCCUAAUCGAAUACCACUAAACUUUUUUAAUUUAAACAAAAGUCUUGAUUGAAUACCCCAUGACUUUUUCAUCAUAAAAAAGUCUUUUAAAAUCCUUCCAAAUCCCAAUUGAAUACACCCCAUAAAAAAAUUAAAAUUCAAAGGAUAAUUAAACAUGUUUGGUUUCAUCAUAAACUGUCAAUGAUAGAAAAUAAUUAUUUUUUCUUCAAAAAACAAUCAAUUUAAUUAUUAUAAUUAAAUUUUAUUUCAUCGACGCUUGUGGUAAAUAAGAUUUAAUUAUUAUAAUUGUCAAUGAUAGAAAAUAAUUAUUUUUUCUUCAAAAAACAAUUAAUUUAAUUAUUAUAAGUAAAUUUUAUUUCAUCGACGCUUUUGGUAAAUAAGAUUUAAUUAUUAUAAUUGUCAAUGAUAGAAAAUAAUUAUUUUUUCUUCAAAAAACAAUCAAUUUAAUAUUUGGUGUACUGGUACACUCAAAAUGUUGGAUGUACCAUAGAAUUUGCCAAAUUUUAAACUUCUAUACUUUAAUUUAAUGAAAUGACAAGGAAGAAAAUAAAAGCUAACAAUAGUUAUCUAUAAAAUUUGAGUUCUAUAUGAAGUUUUCAGAAGUCAAAGUUAUCCAUAAUUGACACUAAACUAAUUAGAAUAUCAAUAUUUUUUUAAGAGCAUCUCUCUUUGAACCAAACAAAAUUGUUUGGCGUAAUCAAACAAUAUAUUAAUGAACUAGCUACUUGUAAAAACUAUGUUAAUUAUUCAAGAUAUGUUUUUCUUUUGAGGUGGCCAAUGAUACCCAUUGUUAUGAAGCCCUUCGUCCUUGUCUACAACUUAUAUGAAAAUGUGAAUGUGGGGGUUGAUUCAAUGGAGGAAGGGUAGCAGAUUGAAAAACAAAAAGGUUGGAGUGUUGAAAAUUAAAUAACAAUAUUAAUUUAAUUAAAUACUGUAGUGCUUUCUUUUUGUUACAUUAUAUUGUAAUAAUUUAUUCCAGAGCCUUUUAUCAUCUCUAUUGUACUUAUAUGACUUUGUUAUUCUUAUUUUAUGCAUUGUGUUUAUUUCCCAUUCAUUUAUUACAGGAAUUGAGUGGGAAUGUGGAUAAUUUUCUCGCUUUGGAGAGACUCAUGGUAACGAAUAACUCCAAAGUAGAAAGUAUCUUUUGUCUGAAUGAAAUAAAUGAACAGCAAAUGAACUUAGCUUUGGAAGACAUUGAUUUGGAUGUUCUGCCUAUGAUGACAUGCCUUUUUGUGGGUCCCAACAAUUCGUUCUCCCUCCAAAACCUUACAAGAAUAAAAAUCAAGGGAUGUGAAAAGUUGAAAAUUGUUUUCACCACUUCUGUAAUAAGGUGUCUACCACAGUUGUAUUAUAUGAGAAUUGAAGAGUGCAAUGAGUUGAAGCAUAUUAUUGAAGAUGAUUUGGAGAAUACAACAAAGACAUGCUUCCCAAAUCUAAAAAGAAUUGUUGUAAUAAAGUGCAACAAGUUGAAAUAUGUCUUUUCAAUUUCCAUAUAUAAAGACCUUCCUGCGCUAUAUCAUAUGAGAAUUGAAGAAUGCAAUGAGUUGAGGCAUAUUAUUGAAGAUGAUUUGGAGAAUAAAAAAUCCUCAAAUUUUAUGUCCACAACAAAGACAUGCUUCCCAAAGCUAAGAAUACUUGUUGUGGAAAAGUGCAACAAGUUGAAAUAUGUGUUUCCAAUCUCCAUAUCUAAAGAGCUUCCUGAGCUAAAGGUUCUGAUCAUAAGAGAAGCAGAUGAGUUAGAGGAAAUAUUUGUAAGUGAAUUUGAUGAUCACAAAGUGGAGAUUCCAAAUCUAAAACUUGUAAUAUUUGAAAAUCUACCAAGCCUCUAUCAUGCUCAGGGAAUUCAAUUUCAAGUUGUAAAACAUCGUUUCAUACUGAAUUGUCAAAAACUAUCUCUGGCUUCAGAGUCAACACCAGACUUCGAAAAUGAUAUUUCUGCUUCAGAUUUUGGCUACGGUACAGACUCUAUCCAAUAUAUUUUUAAAAACUAUUACAUGUUGGCCGUAAAUAAUUACAUAUCAUGCAUUAGUAUUGUUAAAGGAUAAAAACAAUUGAAUCUUCAAAAGUAGCGAUAUCACGUAUGCAUGCAUAAGUAGUGACCUAUCGAAUAGGAGCUUUAAUUUUAUGUAAAAUUUAAUUAUUAUGUAGAUAGAUAACCAAUAUUGUGCAUGUUUAAACUUAAAAAUGAUGAUAUACAAUUGAAAGCGGAAGUUUUUAUUUUUAUUUUAUUUUUUGUGGUGUCUAGGGUUUGAACCUUGAACCUUGCAUAUUUUAUACAUUAUUCUUACCAACUGAGCUAAGCUCAGAAGGAUGUUAAUCACUAUUAUGCUUGAGUUACUAUAUAAGGAUGUUAAUCUCUAUUAUACUUUGCCUGUAGAUUUUGAAUUGUUUGACUAUUGGAAGACUCUGUUUCAACAAUUACAAAGAGAGACCAAAGGCCACGAUAGUGGUAAUGAAAAUCCUAGUCCACAAACCACGAAAGAUUUUGUGGUUGGGAUUGAAGUUCAAACAGCAUCGGAACACAAGUUGACUUCUCCACAGGUAAAUACUAAUAAAUAGUUUGAGGUUAGGAUUGAAGUCCAGAAAUCCUGUGCUUACCACUUCUGAAUCCAAUCACCAUGACAAUAUAUUUGAAUCAAGGAUGCUAUUCUUUUGUGCAGAUAAAAAUGAAAGAAACACCACAGACGGAGAAUGAACUUAUUGAAAAUGCUCCUGAUUUAGAAAUACCAACAAACUUAAAAGUGAUUUCUAGUCCAUGUUUGAAUUGAGUUAGAUAUUUAAUUGAUGCAAUUAAUAGCUGAAGAUCAUUAAUGCCUAUGUUCUUGUUACAGGAGUUGAUGAAUGAACGAUCAAUGGACCAACAACGUUCACUUGGAGAAACUGAUACUGCCGUCAAACCUUCUCAGGUAAAUCAUGUAAUAUCGUACCACCGCAUUGUGCAUAUAAAGCUAAACAAAAGGCAUUUCCCUCAUUUUGCUAGUAUUCUUUUGAACACUUUGUCAAUGCAGGAAUUGAAUUAUACUACAAUCUUAAACAUCCAUUUAAUUUUAAGCAGGGUAUCGAAAUAAGUGCUGAAGAAGGAACCACGUCAGCUAAUGCCAAGACAAUAACAACAUCAUUAGGUCCAUUAUCUACUUCUAAGCAUAAAACAUCUUCACAGGUGAGUUUAUUAUAUAUAACAAAGCCUUCAAAUUAACAUAGUCUUCUGUUUGUAGGUAUUGCUGUCAUAUUUUUCUUUUUGUUAUUAUUUAAUUGCAAUGGAAUUGGAUUUGUAAGAAUCAAGCUUUAAACUAAUUUUGAUAUAUAAAGAGGAAAAAAAAUUGGAAUCUACAGCUUUUAAAUUUUGGAAAAGUUAUGUUGCUGUCAUAUUUUGGAAAACUAAUUUUGAUAUAUCAAAAUGAUUUGUCCACUUGAGAAACAUGAGGGAAAACUAACAGACGCAAUCCAUUCCAUUCCCUACUCUCUCGUUCCGAACCUUUCGUCCUUUUUAGUUUGGCUACAGAUAUUAAGAAAGUACAAAAUUAGACAGGUUUAGUCCAUUGUGUCUUGCUUUCCUAAUAGAACCAAAGUUUUGGGACAAAAAUAAAAAGCUGAAAGAACCAAAGAUCAAGAACCGGCGGAGUAAUAUGUAUUGAGGCUAAUCCUAAAAAACAUAUCAAGACUUCAUGAUGAUAUCAUUUGUAUGUUUGAACUUGAAUUUUUGUAGGAAUAUGGUGGCGGCGAAAUGGCCAUAUCUUCUCCAAUUUCCAUAACAAGGCCUCUUACCACUCAAGAAGUUCAUGUUAAUAACUUGCAGGAAACUAGUAACACUAAUGAUGAUCAAGGUGAAGAGUCUUAGGAUCAAUUUUAUUUUCUUAAGUUAUCUCAUCACCCUUUUCAUUUUGAAGUUUAAAUCUCUUCUCUCACACCUUUUGUUCAGUUUCUCUAAAUGAGGAUGCUGUCGUAAAAGUAACCUCAAUUGUUGAGGAACAAUUUUCUAAGGAUGUUGAAUUUGAAGUUCUAGAAUCGAAGCCUGCCCUUAUCAUUCCUUCGCCUCAAGCAUUUCAAUCUCCUUCGAUGCUAUCCGGAGGUAUAGAUUUUCUCCCUUCAUUUUAUUUUUAAGAACAUUAUUUGGUACUCGGAGAGGACUAAUUAUCAUUUUCUAUACUUUCAGGGGACCCUUCUCAACUAGAUGAAGAAUUAGUAAGUUCAUCAUCAGGUCCAUUGUUUCAUUAAUAAUUGCCAUUCGAUAGGUUUCCUAUGAAACAAGAUUUAAACUAAUUCUUAUAUAAAGAUUUUUUUUUUAAGUCUAUUGCUUCCGAAUCUUACAUUCAAACUUAAGGGAAUUGUUGCUCAAUAUUUGUAGAUGCUUAACACUGAAAUUCUUGUUUUCUAUUUUUAAUUUUAUCUGUAGUGGAAUCAGACUCUUGCAAAAUAUAAUAUAUGGUGUAAAAUAUAGUGAGGUUGAUCCAUUAUAAGAUAUGAUAUAUCAUUUAGUGAUUUAAAUCUGUGUAGGAAGAUCUUGAACCCCGGGGUUUGCAUAUUUUACGCAUUGUCCGUACCAACUGAGCUAAGCUUACGAGGACAUUCUAUUUAUUCAAGUUAACCACAUAUGAAUACAAUCAUCAAUGCAAUGUAUUUGAAUCAAACAUUUAUUUUUGAUGCAGGAAGAAAUGGAACAAACACUAGAGACAAAGCAUGAAUUUGUUGAAAAUGUUCCUCAACAAGAGAUGCCAUCAGUAGCAAUAAUACCAACAAAUUCAAAAGUAAUUUGAAGGCCAUGUGAAAAUCACUUGGAUAUUCCUCUCCAAAUAUAUACAUAUUCAAUAUUAGUCUAGUAAUGAAAUAAUUCAUAUGUUCUUACUACAGGAGUUGAUGAAUGAACAAGAAAUGGAGCAAAAACGUCUACGUGGAGAAAUUGAUGCUACCGUCAAACCUUCUCAAGAAAAUAAUGUAAUAUAGUACCACCUCAUUGUGCAUAUAAAUCUAAAAAAGAAACGUUAAAAAUAUGUUGCAACUAAUUUACAUUUUCAUGUUAUGCAAUCAGUUGGAAGCAUCAACUUUGUCGACCAUUUUCUUGUAUUCUUUUUCACACUUUGUCAGUACAGAAAUUGAAUUAUACUACAAUAUUGACAGGUUAGCGAAAUAAGUGUUGAAGAAGGAACUACAUCAGCUAAUGCCAAGACAAAAACAUCUUCACAGGUCUUCUUCUUACAAGUAUUAUUGUUCAUUUUUUAUAUAUUUCAUUGCGUUGGGAGCCUACUGCUUUUGACAUUUUGAUUCUUUUGUUUUAUAUUUUUUUCUAUAAUGAAGUAAGCCUAUUUCAGACGAAAAUAUCUAUAGCGUGGCUGAUCCUAUAAAUAUUAAGAAUUCAUAAUGAUAUCAUUCUUUUAUUUGAAUUUUGUAGGAAGAAGGUGACAACCAAAGAGCAAUAGCUUAUACUCCAAUUGACAUAACAAAGCCUGUAACCACUCAAGAUGUUGAUGUUGAAAUCUGGCAGGAAACUAGUAACACUAAUGAUGAUCAAGGUGAAGAAUCUUUGGAUCGCUUUUAUUUUCUUAAGUUACCUCAUCGCCCUUUUUAUUUUGAAGUUUAGCUCUCUUGUUUCCCAUCUUUUGUCAGUUUCUCUAAAUGAUGAUAAUGUCAUGAAAGCAAGCUCAAAUACUGAGGAUCAGUUUUCAAAGGAUGAUAACAUAUUAGUUUCCAAAUCAAGACCCUCUUCUAUUGCAUCUCAGUUUCCUUCAAAGCCUUCUGAAGGUAUUUUAUUUCUUUGUUUUAUUUUUAAUUAAUUUACUUGUGCUUAAAUAUGCAUAAUUAUUCUUUCCUAUACUUUCAGGGGACCCUUCUCAAAUAGAUGAAGAUUUAAGUUCUUCUUUUGUUGUCACCGGGGAGCUUGAGAAUCUAGUCUCCAAUAAUCAUUUGGCUAUUGAGAAAUUGUCUUUGUUGACUGACUUCCUUGUUAAGCAUCCUUCAGUUCUUCUAAGGGACACUUCAUUGAGUAGCAGAUACAAGGGUUAUGCCUACAACAGCCUAGCAGAGCUAUUGAAAUUCCUUCAAACUCAUAGUGUGUUGGAUGUGUUAGGUUCAAGCAACUCUGAAUUUGUUGAGUUAUUACAAGAUGUGCGUAGAUUUCCGUUUGAUAAGGAGUGGUUGGAUGAUGUUGAAAUGCGCGCUUUGUUUCCUGAUUUACAAUUCUCUCAAAAUGCAUUGCAAAAACUAUUGGAUUCCGAGCAGCGUGUCACGAAAGAAGUUGAAGAGAUGCGUUUAAAGAUAAACAUUUUUAAUCAACAUCUUGAAGAUCUUAAGCAUCAAUUGACAUCCUCUGAAGCUGAUUUGGAGACUAUCAUUCAACAGAAAGCAAAAAUUUUAGAAACUAAGGCUGCUUUAAGUGCCCCUCUCGGCUAUUAAACUAUCGUUUGUUCUUGGAUUGGAGCUUUUUAUCAUUAAAUAUUGUUUAUUUCUUUGCUAUUUUCUGCUUUUCUCAUUUGAAAUGAGCUACUAUGCGUAUUUUUAAAUUGUUAUCGAUUAUUAUUGUUGUAUCAAACAAAGGAAACACCAAAUUAAGAAUAUUGGAAUCGCAUAAUGUUGAAGUGGAGCUAUGAUUCUUAAUUACAACAACCAUUAAUAUACUUACAACAAGCUACCAUAACUUUUGUUUACAUUGCGUUGUUGCUAUAAGAUAUAUCUGUUUCUAAAUUGUCACAACUACUCUGUAAUUAAAUCACCUCUGUUCGAACCCUGAGAAUGUAGGGCUUGAAACGUAACAAGGGAGAGCUUUAUCGUUAAUAUGUAGUCAUAUUCGAUUAAAGGAUUGCAAUACUCACUUUAUAUACCCAAAAAAAUAACCUCCAGUUUUAUCCAUCAUCUUUUAUUUUAUGAAAUUAUCUACCAUCUUUCUCUUAUAGUGAUCCCAUGUCAAAUUAAUAAAAUCUAGUCUGUAUGGACCUUCAUGACCGUCCGUGGCUAUAAUCUAAGAUGUGGGUCUUUGGCCUCUGCUCCCAGAAUAUGUGAUUUGGUUGUCAGAUCUCUAACAACAAACCUAAAUGUCGACUCAUCGUAUGCACACUCCAUCAACCGAAAUGCUGAAAAUGUCCCCUGAUCUUAAAAGAGGCACACAUGUUGAAAUAUAACAUUUGAACAAUCGUACUCCUCCAUCUACAGGCUCACAUCCAUUGCAACAUGUCUCCUCAAUGUUAUUACCACCCAAUAUGGAUGUAUUAGUGGUAUUUUUCUGCAUUUUAUCGCAAGAAACUUUGCAGCGUAGCCUAGUAAUAUGUUAGUGUGUAGCCUCUAAAGAUUGGAUAGAUUGUUCAGAUUUUUCAUCUCAGAACUUUUGAAAGGGCUAAGAAUAAAGUUGUCUGUUGUAUGUGAUUAGCUUGGAGCUAUUCUUGGAAAAGGGGAAAAGAAAGCAUUGUAUACAGCAAUUGAUGCACUUGGUACACCAGAAAAUUUGGAGAGGCUUUAUUUAGAGGUUCAAGCACCAAAUACCAAUCCAUCAUGCAAUUGUAUCUACAUGAACAUGAUCAUCCAGUAACUCAUAGGGACCUCAAGUGUGAUAUAACAUACUUGUCAAUGGACAUCUUGGACAAGCAAAAAUUGGUGACUUGGGAUUUCCAUACAUAAACAAUUUUUAACUUUUAAUGUUCAAGGUAUGCUACCAGCAACACUUUUCUGAUUUGAAGAUGCAAAAGCAUUGGAGUUUAUUGGAAAAUGCCUAGUGAAUUAUAUGUUUUAUUCUAAUAUAUUUCCACUUUGUUAAAAAUAACCAAGUUGACUUUGAAAUUUCACAAGAAUCUCUGAAUCUCUCUCUUUGAGGUUUCACAAUUUUACUGUUUUGAGCCGCCAGGAAUCAAUCAAUUGGUUGGUAGGUUAGAUUCCAAAUUCAUAUGAAAAGCAAAGUGUGAAGAAGCAUAAACCAGUUAUUAUAGUAUUAGUGAAUUACUUUGUGAAUCAACGUCCCUAUAAUAUGACAUACUAUCUAACUGAUGGUAUCUAACCUUCUUAUCCAACUUUCGUCAAAUCAAUUAGAUUUCCUCAAAGUGAAUCCGAUAAGUUAUUUGCAAAACAUCAGGAGAGCUGUCGGAAGGACAUCGAACGUGCUUUUGGAGUGCUUCAAGCUCGAUUUAAAAUCAUCCGUGAACCAGCUCGCUUGUGGGACAUAGCCGAUUUGGGUAUCAUCAUGAGGUCAUGCAUCAUAUUACAUAAUAUGAUUGUUGAGGAUGAACGAGAUACAUAGGUUCAACGUUGGACCGAUUUUGAGCAACCUGAGGGAAGUGGAUCUAGUACACCGCAACCAUACUCGACCGAGGUGUUACCAUCUUUUGCAAAUCAUGUGCGUGCUAGAUCCGAGUUGCGUGAUUCAAAUGUUCAUCACGAAUUGCAAGCAGAUCUAGUGAAGCACAUAUGGACAAAGUUUGGAAUGUAUAGUGAUUGAAGAUGAUUUGUAUUGUACUAAAUAAAUUCCUUGUGUGUUGUAUGUUUAGUUUAUUAUCUUGCAUUUUAAGUUAUUUGUGUGUCACGUGUUUAGUUUGUUGUCUUGCAUUUUAAGUUAUUUGUGUGUCUCAUUUUAAGUUAAGAAAAUAAAAAUAAAUUAUUUUAUAAAAUUUUGUUUUUCCAAAAAAACUAAAAAAUAAAUAGUUAAUUGUAUUAUUUUAAUUUAAUUAUAAUCGAUAAUUUUAGGGCUAAACUACACUUUUCGCCCCCUAUGUUUCAAAAUGUUGCAAUUUUGGCCCCCUAUUAAAAAAAAUGGCAAUUUUGGCCCCUUUCAUCCAAAAAUUGCUGAGAAGACGCCACGUGUCCCAAAAAAAGGGCCAUAAUCGCAACUUUUUGUAAAGAUAAGAGGUCAAAAAGCAUAUUUCCCUUAUGUUAGGAGGUCAAAAGAGCAUAUUUCCCUAAACAUAUGGGGCAAAAGGUGUAGUUUAGCCUAAUUUUAGGUAAUUAUAAAAACAAAAAUAUAAAAUUAAAUAAAAAUAAGAAAUAAAAGGUGGUGGGGUAGAGUGUUGACUGAAAAAACCAUUGGAGAGGCAAAAAAAUUGAAUGAGUGUUGAAUUAUGAGAGAGAAAAUUAUGUAGAGUGUUAGAAAUUGAAAAAGUGGGUGUUGAAGGGUAUUGAAAUUUUUUUACCAUUGAGAAUGGUCUUACUUAAAACCAAAUCGUGACCAUUGGUUGGUUUAGUUCUUGUGUAAUCAAUCAAUAACUGAAGCUUUAAAUCAACGACAAGACUUGACUAGCUAGCUAGCUGUGAGCCUGUGAAGUCUCUGAAUAAUUUAAUUGAACAUUUACUUUAUACGUUGGACCAUAAGUUUGUUAUCAGAACUACAAUAUCAAAUUAUUCACUUAAUGCUGAUUGCAGAAACAGCUCUGCUAAUUUAAUGCUAGCUACUGUCCAGUUGUUGAGAACAGAGAAUUGAUACAAUUGCAGCACAUCUUCCGCCUAUGGUAAUUUCUCUUUUAUCUUCUCCUUCUUACAUGCAAACAUAAUAAUAACUACCACUUUAUUAUUGCAUAUUUGCAUUUAUGAAAAGUUAUAACAAUCUCAGUAUGUUUUCUAAAAUUAUUGGAAAGACUGUCUAGUUGUUGAACCAUAAUUAUAUUUCUACAACAGAGUUGUUGCAGUAAACACUACCUCGCUACUGCAUAUUGGAGAAUGAUCUUCAACAUUUGCUGAAACUGCUGGAACUAAGGUAAUCAUACUUUUAACAAUUUUAAUUAAUUUCUUAAGUUUUAUAAAUCAACUUGAGUUUUAUGCUUUUGUAUUAUUUUUUAGAGAACACCAACUUGAAUGGAUAAGGAUUGAAUCAAUCAAACAUAGUCUAUCUGUAAUAAAUUUUCUGUUCAAGCCAUGUUAUCUUUUCUUUUCAAACUAAGAGCUUAAAACCUGAAGCCUGCUUCCAAGUCAAAAUCCUCAAAAAUGUCCUCUAAUUUCAAGCAUUGAAAAAAGGGGAAAUAACAGUGGAUUGAUACAUACUGACGUAAGUUACAAAAACUUCAAUAUUUUAGAAAGCUACUACAUUGAUUAAAUAAAAGUUCGAUAUCCACUAUGAAACACUAACAGGAGAGGAGAGCCUUACCAUUUUGUAAAUGAUAUGAAAGGAUUAUUUAAUAAGUUGCAACAAUGCAAGGUCCUAUCUUUUAACUACGCACACAAUAUGCCAAAACUAUUUUGUAAAAGUUAUUGACUCUGCAGCUUUUGUUUGCUGCGGAACAUGAAUUACUCCUAAUUCUCUUGAUUGAAUCUUUAAUAUUGGAUGGACUCCCUGUUUCAAAUUACUUUGAUGAAAAAUGUGUCAUCAAGUAUCAUUUUUCAAAUGAACAGACUUCGAACGAAGAAAAUCUUACUACACAAAAAAAUUCUUUGAUGAAAAGUGUGUCAUCUACUAUCAUUUAUCAACCAUUUUAUUUCUCAAUACACAAUACAACACACACACACAAACAUAUAUAUGCCUAACUUUGAUCUAUUGAAAUUUAUUUAGAUGGCGAGUUUUCUGACUGAUUUGGCGAAGCCUUAUGUAGAUAAAUUGAUAAAUGGGGCGAUUGAAGAGUCAAGUUAUAUAUGUUGCUUCACGUGCAUUGCUAAGGAUUUUGAAGAAGAAAGAGCUAGACUAGAAGUAGAAAGGACGAAGAUGUUUAAGUUACUGCUCUUUCUUGGGAAGAAGAAGCCGAUAAGCUUAUUCAAGAAGACACAAGAACAAAACAAAAAUUACCACCACUUCACUUUCUAGAAGUUGUUUUAGGAAAUUCUGACGAUGCCAACAUGGUACUAGGGUUUAUGAGAUCCAAAGGCGCUGCCUUUUACUACCCCCACCGGACCAUGGGUUCCGGUGGUCUUGCCGACUCCUGUUUUCUUCAUCUUUUUGCUUUGCUGAAAGCCUUGGAGAGAGCAAAUGGAUUCGUUGUCAAUAUUGAUGAUCCGGAAUCUGUGCUUAACUUGAUCGCUAUGCUGAGAGACUUCCAAUUUGAUGGUGCUUGGAUUGAUGCUUUGGAAAAAGUUGUGAAAGAGUCCAUUGGUGUGUCAAACACUAAACUAGCAAGUUUGGAAAAGGCCAAGGGUCAAUCGGCCAUGAGGCUUGGACAAGCAACACUGAUUCGUGAUUAUCAUCAAAAACAAAUGGAGUUAGAGCAAGGCAAAAUUCUCUCACUUGACUUGGAGCGUGAAAGGAUCUUGAAGUUUAGGCAGGAACUUAACAAUGUUCGUAUGAUUUAGGUUGGGAAUUUGUUUUUUAGCACCUUUUUCAAGAUCCUGCCUAAACUUCAAGAUCCUUUCACGCUCCAAGUCAAGUGAGAGAAUUUUGCCUUGCUCUAACUCCAUUUGUUUUUUAUGAUAAUCACGAAUCAGUGUUGCUUGUCCAAGCCUCAUGGCCGAUUGACCCUUGGUCUUUCCUAACUUGCUAGUUUAGCGUUUGACACACCAAUGGACUCUUUCACAACUUUUUCUAAAGCAUCAAUCCAAGCACCACCAAAUUGGAAGUCUCUCAGCAUAGCGAUCAAGUUAAGCACGGAUUCCGGAUCAUCAAUAUUGACAACGAAUCCGUUUGCUCUCUCCAAGGUUUUCAGCAAAGCAAGAAGAUGAAGAAAACAGGAGUCGGCAAGACCACCGGAACCCAUGGUCCGAUGGGGGUAGUAAAAGGCAGCGCCUUUGGAUCUCAUAAACCCUAGUACCAUGUUGGCAUCGUCAAAAUUUCCUAAAACAGCUUCUAGAAAGUGAAGUGGUGGAAGAUUGGUUGCACCAAUCUCGACCACCGUCGCCACGGUGGAGUGGAGAAAACGGAGGACCUCCGUUACGGCGGCGAGCUGGAGGAGUAACCUGAACCCAAACAUCAAAUUUAAAUGAUUCACAUUUCCACAUUUGGAAAAACUUGAACUCAAUAACUGCGGGGACGGUAAAAUCAUCAAGGUAUCCCUAUUUUGUAUAUCUUUGUUAUUCGUGAAUCUAAACUUGAUGAUUUUAAGUCAGCAUAUAUUUUUAAAUGAAUAAUGUUCAAGCCUGCAAAAAACAUUAAAAUUCAAAGGAUGAUUAAACAUGCGGAUUUUUUAAACAAGUAAUUUUAUGUUGGGACAAAAAAGAAAACAUAAUAAUUUUAUGUGAACUAAAAACAUUUAAUUUUUUUAAACAAAUACAUUUUUUUAGAGUGUGUCUACUAAUAUGCACCUCUUAAAAUUGGUUCAAGGGUGGUUUACUAUAUUUAGUAAACAAUGAGAUUUAUAUUAAUAAAAUAUGAAGAACAGAAAAAAUAUUUUAUUAUAAUUUACUAAAAUAAAGAAGGGUCCACCUUUGGAUGGUCCAUAUUAAAUAUUAGAAAAAAUAGCGAGUUCAUCUAUCUGAGAACUCUUAUUUAUAGAGAAGAUGAACUAAGUGGUUGCCACUUAAGUGAAAGAAUAAAAAUGAGAAAUAUAUAAAUAAAAAUAAAGAGAUACAAAGACCAUGCAGACAUUAAACAUAUUCCUGGUACAACCAAGCUGAAAAUAAAUCAUGGAAAUACAAACCAAAUAGAUCAACCUUAAUCAAUCCUAACAAAACAAUCACUCAUUACGAACGCAACUCAGUGAACUCGCGUACGGGUAUGAAAUCAGGUUACAAAAAAAAUGACGAGUAAGCGUCUGUAGGAUCAAACAAGGUUCAUAAUUGACGAAUGGAUUGGCCGCAAACGUGGUAUCAAGAUUCAUGUACCAACAACCAUUGAACAAAGCAAUAGGCAUAAAAGCUCUUUUGAGCAUAACAGUCUGAUCACAAUCAAAAAGACUAAGAUGGAUAAGAAGUCAGUACUAGAGAGUAGCCCGCCCGUCUUCAGUCUUGCAGAUCUCAACAAACGUGGAAUAUCAGAGAAUCAAGCAAGCACAGAAACACCAAAUCAACCGAUUUCAAAGACGUGUUUGAUCUCAGAUCGAGGGAUGAGUUCAAUAUGUUAGUAACCAAACAACCCUUUUGAGUUAAGACAACCAGACCCUUUCGGGUUUGAGAAUCCAAGCCACCGCAAAAAAGGCCAUAUCUAUUGCCACCACCCACUCUCAUAACAGAAACACACGGCAAACACACAAAACAAAAAUGAACAACAACACAGACCAAAACAAACAACAACACAAAGCAAAAAUAAAAAAACGGUGAAACAAGUUGAACUUAGGUUUGCAAUUUUUGUAAUAAAGUGCAACAAGUUGAAAUAUGUAUUUCCAAUCUCCAUAUGUAAAGAGCUUCCUGAGCUAAAUGUUCUGAUGAUAAGAGAAUCAGAUGAGCUAGAGGAAAUAUUUGUAAUUGAAGGUGAUGAUCAGAAAGUGAAGAUUCCAAAUCUAGAAUGUGUAGUAUUUGAAAAUCUACCAAUCCUCAGUCAUGCCCAGAGAAUUCAAUUUCAAGCUGUAAAAAAUCGUUUCAUACGGAAUUGUCAAAAACUCUCUCUGGAAUCAACAAAAAUACAUGCCUUGUCUGCUUCAUAUUUUCGCAACGGUACACACUCUAUCCAAUAUUUUUAAAAACUAUUACAUGUUUGCUGUAAAUUAUUACAUACGAUUUGUUUAAAGGAGCGGUAAGAGGUAUGCAUGCAUAAGUAUUUCUAAAAUGUAAGGGCUCAUGUAGUGACCUAUCUAAUAGAAGCUUUGAUUUUAUGUAAAAUUUAAUUAUUAGGUAGAUUGAUAAACAAUUUUGUGCAUCUUUAAACUUGAAAAUGGUGAUAUACAAUUGAAAGUGGAAGUUUUUAUUUUAUUAUUAUGCUUGAGUUACUAUAUAAUGAUGUUAAUCUCUAUAUUAUUUUGCUGUAGAUCCUGAAUUGUGUAGGUAUUUCAAGACUCUGUUUCGACAACAACUACAAAAAGAGACCAAAGGCAACAAUAGUGGUAAUGAAAAUCCAGAAACCUCUAAAAAAAUUGCCGUUGGGGUUGAAGUUAAAGCAUCAUCAGAACAUGAGCUGACUUCUCCAAAGGUCAAUACCGAUCUAUUGAUUCAAGCUUACCGCACCAGAAUUUAAUCAACGUGACAAUGUAUUUGAUUCAACCAUGCUAUUUUUUGUGCAGAAAAAAAUGAAACGGACACCAGAGACAGAGCAUGAACUUGUGGAAAAUGUUCCCGAUUUAGAAAUACCAACAAAUUCAAAAGUGAUUUCCAGGCCAUGUCAAACUGCGUUAGAAUUUUAAUGGAUGUAAUUAAUAGCUGAAGAUCAUUAUUGCUUCUGUUCUUGUUACAGGAGUUGAUGAAUGAACAAUCGAUGGAACAGCAACGUCUACUUGGAGAACCUGAUACUACCAUCAAACUCUGUUGUCAAUAGCGGCCUAACGCGGCGCGGUCGCGUUGCGCGUUAGGCAAAAGCGGCUGAAAACCGGGUUUUGCGGCCGCUUUUCGUGGAGCGGGAGCGGGUCUAGCGCGGCACGUUUCCGGGUCGAAGCGAAAUUACAGAAUUACCCCUCACUUAAGUGACAUUAGAAAGGUUAAUUUUGUAAUUUUCAAAGCCCUAUUUCUUCACUUCAUUCCAUCGUACAGAGAACAGCCGCUUCUUUUCCUCUUCUCCCAAUUCAAUCGUACAACACUAUUAGGUUUUCACUUCAUCUCUUCACUUCAUUCCAUCAUCUCUUCACUUCAUCUCUCAGCUGCUCAGAUCUUUCACCUCAUCCAUCAUUCCAUAUCUCAGCUGCUCAUAAUUAUUGAAUUCGAAGUUUUAUUUCAUGUUUAGUACUUUUGUUACUUUAAGCUUUAGAGGCUUAAAGUGUUUGCUACCUUGAAUUUUAUUAGUAUUUCUUGCAAGUAUGUUCUUAUGUUUUGCCUAAGACAUGUUUUAUUUCAAAUUAUGAAUUGAGUAAUAUUUAAGUUGUUUUAGUAUUUCUUUUUCAACAUUAUAGUAUUUUAGUAUUAAAUAUAUUAGUGUCCGCGUCAUGUAAUAGCGCCCGCGUCGCGCCCGCAUACCGCACCGCGUCAAUUUUUGGUGUGGCCGCGCCGCGUUUCCGCUUUGACAACAGAGCCGUCAAACCUUCUCAGGUAAAUCAUGUAAUGUCGUAACACCGCGUUGUGCAUAUAAAGCUAAAAAUGAAAUACCGAAAGAAACAUAUUUUAUUUCAAGUGAAUCUUACAAAUAUGCACAACUAACUAAUUUACCUUUCUAUUGUAUACAAUUAGUUGGAGGUGUCUACCAUUUCAGAACCAAAGAAUGUAGCAGAAACGUGUUCCACCAAUUCACCAACAAAGAAUUAGCCACCUAUACAAGUAGUUACUCCUUGCUAGUAUUCUUUUUGACACUUUGUCUAUGCAGGAAUUGACUUAUACUACAAUCUUAAACAUCUUUUUAAUUUUAAGCAGGUUAGCGAAAUAAGUGUUGAAGAAGGAACUACUUUAUGGAUGAUGAUUUGUCCAUUCUCUCCUUCCGAAUCUUUCGUCCUUUUCGGUUUGACAACAGAUAUUAAGAAAGUACAAAAUUAGACAGGUUUAGUCCAUUUUAUUCGUAAUCCAUUCAAUGCAUGCUUUCGGUUUUUUGUAAGUGUGCAAAAGAAAAAACAUCUUUCAUUAUAUUUGGUUUCCUAAAAGAACCAAAAUUUUGGGACAAAAAUAAAAACUAAAAGAACCAAAGAUCAAGUACGGACGGAGUAAUAUGUAUUGAGGCUAAUCCAAAAAAUCAUAUUAAGACUUCAUGAUGAUAUCAUUUGUAUGUUUGAAUUUUUGUAGUAAUAUAGUGACGGCGAAAUGGCCAUAUCUUCUCCUCCAAUUUCCAUGACAAGGCAUUUUGCCACUCCAGACGUUCAUGUUAAUAACUUGCAGGAAACUAGUAACACUAAUGAUGAUCAAGGUGAAGACUCUUUGGAUCAAUUUUAUUUUCUUAAGUUAUCUCAUCACCCUUUUCAUUUUGAAGUUUAAAUCUCUUCUCUCACACCUUUUGUUCAGUUUCUCUAAAUGACGAUGCCGUCAUAAAAGUAACCUCAAUUGUUGAGGAACGAUAUUCUAAGGAUGUCGAAUUUGAAGUUCUAGAAUCGAAGCCCGCCCUUAUCAUUCCUUCGCCUCAAGCAUUUCAAUCUCCUUCGAUGCUAUCCGGAGGUAUAGAUUUUCUCCCUUCAUUUUAUUUUUUAGAACAUUACUUGGUACUCAGAGAGGACUAAUUAUCCUUUUCUAUACUUUCAGGGGACCCUUCUCAACUAGAUGAAGAAUUAGUAAGUUCAUCAUGAGGUCCAUUUUUUCAUUAAUAAUUGCCAUUCGAUAGGUUUCCUAUGAAACAAGAUUUAAACUAAUUUUUUUAUAAAGAUUUUUUUUUUUUAAGUCUAUUGCUUCCGAAUCUUAUAUCCAAAGUUAUGGAGAAUCGUUGCUCAAUAUUUGUAGAUGCUUAACACUGAAAUUCUUGUUUUCUAUUUUUAAUUUUAUUCGUAGUGGAAUCAGACUCUUGCAAAAUAUAAUAUAUGGUGUAAAAUAUAGUGAGGUUGAUCCAUUAUAAGAUAUGAUAUAUCAUUUAGUGAUUUAAAUCUGUGUAGGAAGAUCUUGAUGACCAAAUGGACAUGACUUCUUUUUCCAUUGCUACUACAGAGACCAAUGAUGAAGGUGAAAAUGCUUUGAAUCUAUUUUUAUAUUCUUAUCUUACUUCGAUAUUCAUCGCCCUUUUGAUUUUGAACUUUAUCCUCUCUCACAAUUUGUAUAGUUUCUCGAAAUGAUGAUGCUUUCAAGAAAGUAAGCUCAAAUAUUGAGGAACAAUUUCCUAAGAUUGAUGAUAUAAUAGUUUCCAAAUCUAAACCCUCUCCUUGAAUCACGUCUUUUGUUGCAUCUUUUGUUGCAUCUGAGUUUCCUCUGGUGUCUUCUAAAGGUAUUUUAUUGCUUGCAUUUAAUUUUUAACUAACUUUGGUGUGCUCAAGUAGGCUUAAAUAUUCUUUCCUAUACUUUCAGGGGACCCUUCUCAAAAAGUAGAAGAUUUCAGUUCUUCUUUGCAUGUCAAGAGGGAGCUUGAGCAACUAGUCUCCAAGAAGCAUUUCGAUUAUGAUAACUUGUCUUUGUUGACUGAUUUCUUUGUUAAGCAUCCUUUGGUUCUUUUAAACGACACUUCAUUGAGUAACAGAUACAAGGGUUAUACCUACAAUUGUCUAGCGGAGCUAUUGAAAUUCCUCCAAACUCAUAGUGUGUUGGAUGUGUUAGGUUCAAGCCACUCUGAAUUUGUUGAGUUACUACAAGAUGCACGCAGAUUUCCAUUUCAUAAGGAAUGGUUGGAUGAUAUCGAAAAGCGCGCUUUGUUGCCUGGUUUACAAGUCUCUCAAGAUGCAUUGCAAAAAUUGUUGGACUCAAAACACAUUUUGACUCAACAUGUGGCGGAUCUUAAGCAUCAAUUGGCUUCCUCUGAAGCUGUUUUGCAGAACAUCACUCAACAGGAGGCACAAAUUUUACAAACUCGGGCUGCUUUAAGUGAUCCUAUUGGCUACUAAACUAUUUUUUUCCAUACAUUCGUUCAAGAUGUUCCCUGCUUCUCUUUAUCCUUGAAUAUUAUUUAUUGCUUGGGUUGUUUUUCUGUUUUUCAUUUCAAAUGAAUUAAACAAAUCUUAUUGAUUGUUGUAUCAUUGUAUUAUUGAUAUCUUCCUUAUUUCGAAUAAGAAAACACGUUGAACACAUUUUGCUAUGCUAUACACCACUCAUCAAUCAAUAUGCAUCAAAUGCAUCCUAAGAUUUGGAUAAAUAUUGGAAAAUAUCAAAUAGAAUUUCAUAUUCAGAAGAUUAUCCAAACUAGUAUAUACGACAAACAAAAUGUGACUAAGAGAAAAGUUGGGAUCAAACAACAAAAAAAAUACUGGGAUACAGUUUCAAUAUGCAGAGAUGAUGAACGAAUUUAGUUUUGUAGAUUCAAUAGCAUGGUUGUUAUAAGUUACAGACGGCACCUGCAGUUGCAGCUGCAAUAUAAAGGUUUUUAAAGUCCUCCUAAUUAUAUUACAACCACAAUGUAGACAUAUUAGUGGUAUUUUUCAGAAUUUUAUCGCAAGAAGAAAGUUCUAAACGUAACAUGGUAAUAUGUUAAUGUUUAGUGUAGCCUCUAAAGGUCAGAUAGACUGUUCAGAUUUUUCAUCUCAGAACUUUUGAAAGGGCUAAGAAUAAAGUUGUGUUGUAAGUGAUUAGGUUCGAGCCAUUCUUGUACAAGGGGAAAUGAAAAACAGUGUAUAAACAAUGUCUAGUAAUUAUAUUCCAUCAUUGCUACUUUGUUAUGCUUUCCAUUGUGGGAACAUUUGUACUUCAAUAUUGUUCAUUUCUUGGGUGUAACGUUUCGUCGUUUCUCAUCCGAAGUGAACUAAAGAGUCUCAUUAUGUUUGUGUAUUUAAAACUAUUAGUGAUUGUUGCAUGUUACAUUGAUGAAGUUAUUUUACUGAAUCUUUCAUACAAUAUUGAUUGUGUUUGGGUGUAUUUAAAUAAUGCACCCAAACCCCAAUAUAUAUAUAUAUAUAUAUAUAUAUAUAUAUAUAUAUAUAUAUAUAUAUAUAGGACAUAUACUAUGAGAAUGUCAUUUUUAUAUAAUUGUAUCGUGUCAUUAGUAUUCCUUUUUUGAACACUACUAAAAUAGAAUUUUGAUUUUCUUUUUUAUUUUGUAACAAAAAAAUUGAAUUUUGAAUUCCUCAUGGAUCAAGCUUCGUAGAACAUUUGCUCAGAAGAAAAAAAAAGUUUCUUAGAACAUAUCCUUUUUUUUAAUUUAUCUUCCUAUAAAGUCUAGAUAAAUGCAUGCAUGCACAUUAUAUGAACCUCGUUGAUCAAUUAACAUUUUUGAAACGAAUGGAAAUUAAGCAUCACUCCCUCAUGUGCAUCUAUAGCUAGCACCAUUUGACAUUGAUGUCUUCGAACAUUUGGUGCAACUCUCAUAAUACCAUCCAAACUGGUUAGGAUUGAAUUUAGUUGUUUUUCAAAUAGUGAUGCAAUAUGUAUCCUAACACAAAUUAUGCACAUGAAAUAAAGAAUAAUGCAAUAUGUAUUUUUAAUUUGUGCGUCAAAAAAACACAAAGCAUGUUUGUGCAUAAAAAAAGCAGACCUUGACUAAGUUUAUAAAUCAGCAAUUGGCCUAACCUAAGACAGAUUGGAAAAAUCGUUGUACGUUGAGAAUAAGCCGAACUCUGACUUAAGUUCUGACUGAUGCUUUGACUCUGAGCUUGAGAAGUGUGAAGGUCAUGAGUCAUGACAACAAUUUAAGAAACAUGGUCAAAAAACAAUCAAAUCAGAUUGUGAAAUAAUAAGUUAGCAUGAGCUAAAAUUCAAUCAUCAUGACUGAAGGUGAGAAAAACACAAGAAGGGGGGUUGAAUUGUGUUUUCUUUUUCUCUAAAAAAUACUGUUAUCUUGAUUUUGGGGUGUCAAGUCAUUAAUUAGGCUUGAACCUUUCAAUCAUUGAUAAUCUCUAUUUUUUUUCUUGGGAAGGGUAAAAUUGAGAAAACCCUUAGAAACUCUAAGUUCGGGGGUCGUUUUCGUUACGGGAAGGUGUUAGGCACCCGCAAUGACUAUAGUACUCUAUCGGAACCGUUUUCCUAAUUUUAUGUCUACGCUUUAUUUUUAAUGCUAUUUAUUAAAAAAGGAAGUUGUUUAUGUUAAGAAUGGGGGGAGGAGUGUUUGGAUUUUUAUUUUAUUGAACUUGGAGAGGUUUUGACCUCUUGCCUACAUACCCUUUUAAGGGAUCAAAAUUUCAUGUAGUUCUCUUUCAAAAAAUGUUUUUGUGUGUUUCAAUUGAUUUUAAGUUUUUUGGAAAUGGGUUUUGAAGAAAGGAAAGAAGCCGUGAAGGCAUGAGAAAAAAUGGUGAGUGGUUGGUUCAAUUAUUAAGAAAAGAGUCUAUGUUGGAAUUAAAGUUCAUUUUGAGUUUCUCUUAAGAAAAUAAAGGGAAAAUUCAAUGGAGUUUUGACUCCAAGGUUUAUUAGGAAAAAAAAUUUCAAGUGAUGGAAUUUGCUUAUUUUUAAAAAAGAAGAAUAUUUUUCUAAGUAUCGCGUUCCCUAAGCAUACAUCUAAAGCGGUAAAUCAUCAUACAACGUGUGUGCGUGUCGGUGCUUGUAUCGGUGUACAUCAUUAGAGUCCAUUGUCCAUUACAUAGGCCCUAGUUUACAUUCUAUGGUCUUGCAAGAAUUUAAAAGAAAAAUUGAAACUACCUAAAUUUACAUGCCAACUUUAACAUAGAAAUGAAUAGUAAAAGACCUAAACUAUAAGAAAUGGAGAUGAAAUGAUAGAAUGCUUAUGAGGUGAAUGAAACAAGAAAUAAAAAUGGUUAGUAGAAUAGGGCAUAAAAUGAUAGAACAAGUUAGCAAAGAAAUACGAGAUAAACGGUAAAAACAACAACAAUAACCAAAAUGUAAAAAGUACACAUUACUUGCAACACAAGAAAUUAACAAAUCACAUUAAAAAUAGUACAAACAAACACAUGAUCAGAGACAUAUUCACCACAAAAUUGCAUAUCAAUCAUUCAUAUCGUGCCAAGACCUCAUGAACAAAUUAUGGCAAGAAAAUUCACAAGUUUAGUCAAAAAAUGAACAAAUCAACAAGAAAACAUUACAUAUAUUUUUUAUCAUUUUUUAACAUGUAAAAACAUCACAAAAAUGUUAAAAAUGCAUCAAGAAACACAUAGAAAUUUUUUUAGGAAUUUUUGCAAGAAAAUUAGAACAAACAGGGGUUCAAAUAGCAAGACAGCAAGGUGCAAAUAGCAAGAAUACUAACAAGAAAAAAAGGAAUCUGCGCAGAAGGAGGCCCAAGCCCAAAACCUAAGGCCUGGAUGCACAGGGAGCGUUGGAUUGAUCCAGGGAGGGAAACCCUAGAUCCAACGCUCAGGAUUGCAGGGGAUUGGACCGGUCUUGAACCGGUCCGGUCUAGUGGUCUAUAUAAGCAAGCCUACACCGGUUCAAUCACUUUGCUAUGUUCUUUCUCUCUCUUCUCUCAUCCUAGUGAGAGAUGCUCUCGCCUCUCUCUUCUCUUCCUCCGCCGGUUUCUGGAAUGAGCGGCCGGAGAAGAUGAAGAUCUGGCCGGAACCUUCAUAGGUCCGCCGGAAUCUUCAUCUUCUCCGGCGAGAUCUCCAGUUUUCCGGCAACCUCUAAUCUCACCAGAACUUCGAAAAUUUUACAACAAACUCUUCGUUUCUUCAUCCUAAACAUGAUUCUAACACUGGUUUUCACAAAUAAAGCUUGAAUCAACGUAGAUCUAAAGAUUUUGCUACGGUUUUGAAAGUAUUUUUAGGUUUUUCAGUUUUUUGAAAGAAACUCUUUGAAACUUUGAAGAUCUACAUUGAUUCGUUCUUGUUAUUGUUCUUGAGAAAGGAAAAUGAAGAUUCAAGUGUUACCUGUGAUUUAAUCGGAGAUUUCGAACGAAAAUCUUCGGAAAACUUCGAUCUGAUUCUGUUUCGUUGAUUUCGUUCUUGAAUCCGAAAAUAAAUCGGUGUUCUGGCUGGUUCGAUUCUUUCUUCUUCUUCACCGGUUCAAAUUCUUCUUCUUUUCCUCUUCCUCUUCACUGAUUCUCUGUGAUCGGUGCUUGAGUUUGCCAAUGGCGAAUUCGCGCCUUGAAUUGCAGAGAAUCCGGUUCAAUGAUGAUGAUUGUUUGAAGAAUCACUGAGAACUGAACGAAUUUAGUUGAAAUUGUUGAUGAAUUGUGAUUCUGGAAUUCUAGGGUUCAUGAAUGUUCUUCAUGUUCUUGAUAGUUUCUGAGUUUUUGAUCUAACUGAAUGGAGAGAGAAACUGUGAUUCUGUUUGUUGAGGUGGCGUGAAUUGUGUGGAUCCUCUGGUUUGUGCAGUGAAUGCACCUUUUAUAGGCUGUCAAGUGUGCUUGAGACCCAAUGGGAGAGGGACACCUGUUUUUUGGACUUAGGGACCUCUCUGCAAAAAAGAAAAAUUGAAGGAUUGGACUGUAAUAAAAAAAAUGGACUAAAAUGCAAUU
rnacentral:lncRNA from 1 species